AGUGAGUUCAACUAGUCUAGAUGCGGAGUGGGAAGAGCUCCCCCAAACUUUACUCGGUAAUAACUUGUUAUGCCCCCUUAUUAGUGGCUACCGCCGAACACAGCACUUGGUCUAACGUAGUUGCUUGCCGGGCUAUAAAGAGUGAAAGAAACGAUCUAAACACAUGUCUUUCGGCUAUUAUUACUAUGGCUUAAAUAUCAUAUCAUCUCCAAUCCAAACCUAGCCUCACUCUAACUAAAGCGCUUUUGUCACCGGAAAAGAGCAAAACGAGAGAGUACAAGACAGAGACGCAAGCUAGGACAGAGCGAUCCACCCUUUAUCCACUAGGACGGGACCAUAGGCGAGACCAGGUACUACUAUUAUCGGGUAUAGUUACAUGGAGAAAAGGAAGCAGUUACCAGAGGAGGCUAUGUCAUAGUUUCCAGUGAUUGCUUCUAAGAAUAAAUAAGAUCAUAAGGAAUUUGAACGACUCUACUGCUUCUCCUACUUUCAUUCAAUUCAUAAGUAAGAUACAUCGUACUAGGAACUCGGGCUCAAACAAAUAAGUAUAGGACUCGCACUACGAAACAGUAAAUAAGUAAUUGAACACAUAAGGACCUAAUUCAAAAGAAGAUAAUAGAACAACCAUAGCAGCUUCAAUGUCCUAUAAUGGGUUUGGUUUUGAUGUUCCCUGCAUGGUGUAUCUGCCCUAAUAAUCCUUUCGAGCAUGAGGUAUCUGCCCUAAUCCUGCCCUACUGCUGGGCACCCGACUAUAGCUCGACAAGCAACUUAGUAAGUUACUAUAUACUAAUAUGGAAUCAAAACACCCAGUAAUAACAUAAAUGAAAAGAAUAGGGAGCUGUAGACUACUAGAACUGAGCCCAGGCGUAAUAGAAUGAAAGCAACAACCCAAAGAAUAGAAAUGGGCGCCCAUAAGCCUAUCUUUUCUGUCCCCCGUUCUCCAACAAAUGACCUCAACCCUGUCUUUUUCACCUCAACAACUAGUGUGGUUUGUGAGCCUGCCUUUUCAACUGAAGCUAUUGAUCUCAAUUCCAUAUCUAUUUAUUGAAACUAAUACUCCUUUUAUUGAAACAAAUACUCCUUUUAGUUAGCCUGUCGCUUACUCGCUUCAAAUCUCUGAUAUUAAUUAAUGUCAACAAGGAUCGAACACUGCCUUAUCUUAUUCGAUUGUACUAGGGAACACAAGAACUAAACAAGCAACUUGUACUUUCGCUCCUUCUUUCUCAUUCUCUGUGUAUAGAAAGAAAUGCUUCUGAAUGGAAGUUACCCACUGGACAUCUAUCAAAUCAGGCACGAUAAGAAUGCAGAAUCAGCUCCGUGUGCUCUUAAGAAGGUCUGGCUGCUGCAAAAUCUUUCGAAGCGCAAGAGAGGGGCGGGUACUUUUCAAUGACAUUGAUGCACCCUUAUACAACCAAUAGAGAAUUCCAUCAUUAUAUCUCUCUCUGGCUGGCAGUCGCACAAAAGAGUAGGGCUCCGGUCAGGUCCACAGGUGUUUCAUCUUGCAAAUCACUUGACUUACAUACUAAACUCAGAGAAUCCGAAUGAACAGGGACACCAGCAGAAGCAAAAACCACCAGCCUUUCCUCUCGUCUUGCUAGAGAAGCAAAAACCACCAGCCUUUCCUCUCGUCUUGCUAUAAGUUCGUUGCUUACCCUUGCUUUAAUAGAGUAAUUACAGACUGAUUGAACAGCGGAACCCCCACUCUUAUUAUAACAACCACUUAUGAAUCUUUGGCAUAACAUCACUCUUCUCCCAGGCACUAUCCCUUGGCAUAACAUCACUCUUCUCCCAGGAACUAUCCCUUAGGGUGCUUUCCUGGUGUCACUCUCCUCGGUCGAUAUUUUCCAGUCUUUGAUGGUUCCUUCUUCGAACACUUUUGGCAUUAGGCUCAGCUGAAUGGUUCCUUCAUCGGAGAUCCUGAAUAGUUCCUUCCCAGACAGAUCCGGUGGUCUAGUAUUUACAUCUUAGCAAGUGUCUUCUCUUUCCUUCUCACUGAAAAACAAUCCAAUGGCGAUACUGCCUUGUCGAAAUGGGAGGGUGGUGAGAUAGAAUGCCUUACUAUCGGUUCUGGUGCGAGUGGGUCAUCGGGUAAAACAUCUCUGGUAUGGGCAAAAGGGAAAGUAGCUUGGGACUAGGCUAGGGUUUUCAUGACCGGAAUAGAUAAGGAAGCAUAUACAUAGUUCCCUCUCUAAACUUGAAGUCACUAUAGUUCCAUUUCCCUGUAUGUCGAUUCUAUUCAUUUCUUUUCCAUUUCCCUGUAUGUCGAUUCUAUUCAUUUCUUUAAUUACAGCGCAUGUUUCGUUCGGCUGAUUGCUUCGAUGGGAUAUGUUGGGUGUCCCUAUAGUGCCCGGAGCGGGGCGUGGUCAAGCGGGGGUAGAAGAGGUCGAGCAUCCACUCCUAACUUCGUGGGCACAUCGCAUAGUUCCUACUUUCCAUUCCUUUAUGACUUCCCUGGGUUACCCGCCAGAGAUAUGGGGAAUUCCACCAGCGGGUCAACGAUGGGCGAGAUACAAGCUUAUUCAGGAGUGGUUAGGCUUUCGUCCCUUUGUCUCUAAGGAAAUGCCUAAUUUCUUCCAAUUCCAAAUACAAAUCAUCAAUAUCUUCUCUUGCUCUCUUUCUUCCUAAUUCCAAUUCCAAAUACAAAUCAUCAAUAUCUUCUCUUGCUCUCUUUCUUCCUAACUUAAUAAAUAAGAAGACACUUUUCUCUCUUGUUUUCUUUAUAUAUCCACUCUGUCACUGUUCAUUUAUCCAUGCAAGGUCUGGUCUCUCUCUACUUAGGCACAGGUAUAAAUCAAGUGGGAUCUGUAUGAUUCUUCCCCAUAUAUCACAUUUCCUUCAAUCUGACCUUCUUCCUUUCCGUUUUGCCGGCCCACUGCGAUGCGAGGUUACUUCAUUCUAUAAUGGGAGAGCACAACAUUCCAUAAGUACAACCUAUCUAUUCAAACAGGAUUGGAUGUUAUCACCCGCAUAAGACCAGAGAAUCAUGUCUCGCACUGAGAGCGAACGAAAGCACUCUGGAAUGCAUUCUCUUGCUUCACUCUAAGGGCAGCAAGGUGGGUCCGCUUAGAACUCUUCCUAUUGGGCUCCUGCCGCCACGAGUCAAAGAAAGGACUUGUAGUGACUUUUCUAGUAGUUUCUAAGUAGUUGCUUCGCUUUACCUAUCACUUUGGAGUUUGUUCUGUCGUAUAUUCUACCGCUUCUGGAAUGGACUAGUCUGGGUUCGGAAGAAUCAAUCUAUAUAGAAAGAAUAAAUCGAUAUAGAUUCAAUAGUCCAAGCUUUAGGCAAUAAUGUUUGACUUUUGGAAGAAACCCUGACCAGACUAUACUAAAAGAACGUAGGCAUAUGAACCGAAAUAGAAUACCAGUUUGACGUCUUUGAGACGCUCCUUUCCUUUGCACUCAAUCUAGAUUCUUCCCCAAAAACACACGGUAAGGCUAUAGGAUAGGAUGGAAUUAUUCGAAAGUACUGGGACCACUAUCGAUCGACUCCACGAGCACUACUCCUUUCUCUUGGCUCUCCCCUCUAUCUCUCUCUAAAGUUUGUCUUGGCUCUCCCCUCUAUCUCUCUCUAAUGACUGGAAUCAAUCCCCUCUAUCUCUCUAUCUCUAUAAGUGGGUUCAAAGGCUUCUUCCUCUCCGUCUGUCUUUCCUGAGCUGUCUUCAUAACAUCAUUCCGACUCGAACUUAGAGUUCCUACUUAUGUACUGCAACCAAAGGAUAGGCUUGCUUCUUCGAUCUUCCCUCACACAACAUUCUUUUGCAGAAAGUCAUCCCGUUGACCUCCUUCAAAAAGAGCAGAACCCUCCUCAACGAUUGAUUCAAAAGUAUACUAAGCUAUAAGGUCAAGAGUCUACGAAUUAUCUCGAAACAGGCUUUCACACUCCUUUCUCUAGGCUUUCACACUCUCUCUCUAUAUCACACUCUCUCUCUAUAGAAAAAUCCGGAUUGACUUGCUUAUGGAAGAUCACGAGAUAAAGCCUUGCAAAGUCAACCUUGGCCUCUACUUUCAAAGGAGCUAGGCACCAGAAACUCGAAAGAAAGAGGAUUACGGAUUCUAUCUAUCUAAUCCGAACGAGAAAUCCGUAUUUACUCGACCCUCCACCCAGAAAGUCACUCUCUUAUCAGCCUAAAGACUUGGAAAGGUAUUUGACUUUGGUGCCUGAAAGAGUGGAUUCUACGACGAGACCAAAACCACUAGGCUAGCGUGCCCGGGCUACCUUCUCCGUUUGGCUUGCUUUCUCGGUAUCUCUAGUUAAAGUAGAUCCCGCCAAGACGAAAGAUGAAUCAAGUAUGAAUUCGUAAUUCGUUACAAUCAGUCCCGAUCGCAUUAGCACUUAGGAACAACCAAAAGCCAUGAACACAACUCAUACGUUAGCGCUUAAUUAGUGAGCGGAACGGGAGUUUGCCCCCUCCGUACCGUCAUAUCUUCUAGCUGAUAUGAUCCAGCUUCACUUCUAGCUGAUAUGAUCCAGCUUCAAAUAAAGCUUCUAAUAAGGCUUCUUAUCCUUCUUUACCGUGUGUUCUAUCAGAUCCCUCUUUACCUGACCGCUAUAGAUGAUAUUGGAUAGCCAAAAACAGGACCAAAAGUACUAAGUGGAGAGAGAGGGAGAGGUGAUUCUUCAUGAUAGAAAUGCGUAACCAACCAUAGCAGCAUAGUUUUGCGUAACCAACCAUAGCAGCAUAGUUUUCAUCACGAAUAGAGGCACCCCGAAGUAAGCUCCCCGCUCUGCCACUGGAAACACUAGACACUUUUCCCGUCCCUAAUGCGCACUGAGUCUUGUGCCUCGCAACAAAGAAUAGAUUAUAGGCCUCGCAAACUGUAAUGGAAUAUCUCUCUUCUUAUUGAGCACUAGGUAUAGAAUAAAGUGACCCAACUGCUUCCUAACCAGCUUAUGCUUAAGAUCCAGUUGCCAAUGCUCUUACAGCAUCUUUCUCUGGUCGAUUCCACUUUCCUUGCUACUUACUUUCUUUCGAACUACACUUAAAGAACUAAUUGAUGGUUCAUCUGAUCUGGUCGACUUAACAAGAACAUCAAUCUAUGAUCUUAUAGAUUAACCUGGCACAUUCCAUUCUAUUCCUUCUUGACUUUCCUGGCGGAGGCCCCUUUCAACAAGUAACGGUGCAACAACAAGUUAGUCACCCGUCUUUGAAACUCACUCGGACCCUACCCCCUUAUUAGUAGUAGGCGAAUAGUCACCCUAUUUGUAUGCGAUGCGCAUCCACACGACGGACACGUUCCAAGAUCUCCCGCAACGAGAACCUAACACACACAUGGUUUAUUGAUAGUAAGCUGAUUAAAUAAAUGGAUCAUAGGUUGGUCUAAUAUUGAGUUCCGCCCUGACUCUAAUAUCUUUCUACGUGUUCAGUUCACGCGCUACUAAGCCACACACAGGAUCUUAGACAGGUUUCGUCCCCUUUCCUUUCGGGAACACCUUAUUACAAGUAGGGUAGUGGGGGCAAAGCAAAGCCUGAUGCUUAUAUACCGACAAAAUCAGAUAUCUAUGGUCGAUUCGUAGAAGAGUGGAUUCGCCCUUUAUGUUAUGGCUCGCAACACGCUCCGUAGCGCUUAGUAACUCGCUCGUAUAGGGUAAAGUAUUUUCUGAAAGUUGAGUGAACCUUAGGGCUUUCAGAAUUUCAUCUAGCGUUCCUAGUAAUAGAAUGGAGUAAACAAACUAUAUAACCUCAAUGCUUGUUUCAACCCCUUACCACUGCUUAAAGCUAUGACCUUAACCCACGUAGCGGUAGCUUACAUCUUACUGCGGACUUUUUGCUUUAAUCACUCGUAUCGGCAUCCGAACCCUAUACAAAUGACUAACUAAAGGUGGAGGCAGAGGCUGAGGGUUCCUAGAAAGAUGAGUAACCUGACUCGGGAACAAGACUCAAUGCUAACCUAAUUCUAGUACGGGAGCAGCUCAAUCCCUAUUUUUGGAUGCUUAUCAGUCAUAAAUUCAUGAAUAAGUUGACUCGGCGCAACAAGAAGGAUUACAGGUUGGUUUACUUGCGAGUUAGGGAACGGAGUUUAGAGUUAACAGGGUAGGUGAGCAGCUUUAUAACAUUCCUUUGCUAUAGGCGGGUGAGAGAGAUGAGGCAAUUAGAGAAUCAACUGUAUAAGGGAAUAGAUAGAGUCCUUCCUUUGAUGGUUCAAUACCUUUCUCUGGGCCAAGCACCCGAUUACAGAAAACAAACUUACGGAAUCUUUUCUCACUGCCAACCAUUUGGUGGUAAAGUCAAAACCCAUUUCCCUUAUACUGUAUUAUUGUCUAAACCAGAAAGAAUAGAUUGGAAGUUACUGUAGUAUAGAGCAGGUGCACUCCACAAGCAAACAAGUGGAACUUCUAACUCGCUGACGUUGAGCCCUGCGUUAGAGAAUCCAAGUGGCUUGUUCCCCCAGAGUAAGUAGUGAAGAAGCUUAGGAAGAAGAAUAGAAGCAAGGCAAUAAAAGAAGUCAAGUACAACACGUAUAGGGUGUGAGGCUGAGGCUGCCAAUAAAGAAAGAUGAUUAUGUGGGAAGAGACAAAGAAGCAAAAAGGAAUAAGUUAAGCAAAGCUGUUUCUUUAAAUAAAGAAGUCAUAGGUGGGUUAAGAGCCAGUUGUAAGAUGGUGAGGUGUUGUUUCAUCUAUAUUAGGGUGUAGCCCCAAUGCUUUCUUCUUACUCUUUCUUCUGACUAGAUUCCUUAUUAGGAAGGCGCUAGAUUCCAUUAAGUAUUGGCUAAGGGAACAAGAGGUUGUCCUGAGUUCAGAGUUCGAACGAGCAAAGCAAAUGCGUUAGUGAGCCACUUUCUCGGGGUUUCAAAUCUUUAUUUUCCACCCUUAACGUCAAGCAAGCUGUAAAACCCAUCUUUCUCGGCAACAGACCUCUAUCUCUCUCUGCUCAACUCAUCUUAUGGCUAAUCUAAGCUAAAAACGCUUAUUCUCUCAGUAAGUUUCGGGCACCGCGACCACGUAAAGGGGCUUGUAGAGAAUACUUGAAAACCGUCGUUUAAUCUAUGUUCAACUCCUCUUUAUGGUAAUCUAUCAUUUCUGCCCUGACCCACUGCUUUUCAUUCAUUUUGGAUUAAUAACAACGACGACAGCCCUAGUUGCUUCGCCCCUUGCCUUGACUGUACCCGCUCCUAAUACUUAAUCUCUCUAUUAUUUGAAAACGAUUAAUCUCUCUAGUAUUUGAAAACUCUUAUAGUAGUUGCUAAGUAGUUGCUCGGCCCGUUGCUUGUUCCCCUGCUUGUUGCAUUUCAUUUAGCUAUCCUAGUAAAGAAUAACCUAAGCUCACUACUCACUACUCACUGCUCACUACUCACUGCUCACUGCUGACAUCUUACAUGAAGUAACAAAACAGCUUGUUGAAAGAGAGCUUUUUAUUGCUGGCUCUAAGGAAUAGGCACAUAUACACUAAUAUAAGAAAGUCAACAACCUGCGGACAUCUGACUGCAGGCUCUGCUCUACCUAACACUAAACUAGAAAGAAAGAGAAUUGAAGAUACCGGUUCACUAUAUAUAAAAUGUAACAAACAGUCUUGCUUCGAACAAGUAAGGUUCCGUUGCGCUUGGUGAGUAGAGUUCACCGUUGUUAAGAGUUCUCUAUUCGUAUUGAGGCACAGUUAGUUCAGAUAUUAUUGACCGGCACCCAAUACUAUGAAAUAAGAAAUAGAUUGAAGCCAAUACUAUGAAAUAAGAAAUAGAUUGAAGUUCAAAAGAAUAUAGGUAGGAUGGUUCACAACUAUGCAAAAGAAUAUGGGAAGACGUUGCACUUAAAGGACAGAGAGGAACCAACCCCGAGUUGCUUGUGAAAAAGCUGUUGUUUGCUGCUUACUUGUUUUAGUUACCGCGAAUUGAAGGAAUUCUUAUUAAGAUAAGUCACUUAUUCUAUAGUAACCGAACCUUACUGCUUACUCUGAGGCGGAGGUACCCCGAGCCGAGUUGCUUUAAGAAUUGAGGCAAGGCAGUCGAGGAACCUACUCCCUUUUCUAAUAGUUUGGUUUAGGCCAUUCCAAAAACGAAUCCGACUCUCCCCCCUGCCCCCUUGGGCUGGCUCUUUUCUUCCUUAUUUUGAUCUAGUUUGUGUGUAGUGCGCGUGGUAAGGUGCUUUUUCUGUCUGUGGAGCCGCACUCACUUCCGGGGAUUUCCUCUUCGCAGUCGCUCGAGCUGCCCUCCGGGGAUUUCUUCUUCGCAGUCGCUCGAGCUGCCCGAAGUCACCCUUUCUUGCCACCGGUUCGGCACCCACUAGUAGGCGUUUCCCUAAGGUAUUCCCCAGCACGGCUUAUGCGGAUCUCUCUCUCUACUACCAGGGAACAGGUUCUAAUCCCCAAAGACUCCCCUCCGUCCAAACAAUAGGGCGCUAAGGCAUAAUCUCUCUUUCCUUUCGAUAAGUAAGCAAUGGAUUCAUCUGCGCUCUCGAGCUAUAACAAGGAUUUCCUGGAUAUAACCGAUCUUAUUAUUCCGUUCAUGAAGUGGAGUGGGACCUGUUAUCUCUUCUUAUGGAGUGGAACCCGUUAUCUCCUCUUAUCUAAAAGAUAUUAAAGCUUACAAUCCAGAUAUGAGACUAGGAAUACCUGCACAUCUCCGAUCGUAGAUCAAAUCAGGAAUAUUUCUUUUGCCGGGUCGUUUACUAGACAUAAAAUAGAAGGCUCUGACAAGACCUAAGGUUGCUUGCCUGUGACACUAACCUAGGGGCCGAGCCCAGCCUCAUGUGCUGAUAUAGUUUUCUACUUUAUAGAAUGGCCUCCUUUAUUGAGAAUCCUGACCAACCAUCCCUGUCAUAUGAAGCUCUCUUCUCGGUCUUUUUAGAAGGUGAGGAAGAAUCCUAAACUCCUAUGAAAGAAAUUCGAAUAUGUAAUAUAUUGUAGAGGAGAGUGCAGCAGUAAUAUAUUGUAGAGGAGAGUGCAGCGUCCGGAAGGCUUUCAAUCAUGCUUAUAAGAAGCUAGAGCUUUCCGUUAUGAAGCUAUUGUUUGUGAAUCUCCAUCCCGAAGAUCUUUACUUGAUUUCCACUAUUAAGAAAGCGAAAUGACCCUCAUUCAGUUGAAAAGUCCUGUGAAAGACUAAAGAAAUUCAUAUAAAGUAGGCUACUAUACGUACACGAAUCUAAAGGCAUCGAUUUUCACCAAAGUUAAGGAAAACUAUCAUCGCACCGAAAAAGUAGCCUUCGCUUACGUAAGCCUUUGCUGGCUUUAUGCUUGCUUACCCUAGAAAGACAUCUUUCCCUAACCACCUUAACUAGCCCGCUGGAUUUCUCACUUGAUCAGUCACUUUAUGUCUCACAGGGGAUAACAGUUGGGACUAGGUCCAAAAAGGAUAUCUAAAGAAUUUCCACCCUUAGACAAUGGGCUCGCUUAGACUUAGAAAAGGCCCCUUACAACAAACUUGCCCAGAGAAAGCCUACUAUAAGCUUACAUAAUCACCUACUCUCUAGUCGGAUGUUGCAUAUGUUGUAUAGUUGAUUUAUAGAAUAUGGGAUUUGAUGAACGGGACUGUAUGGGCGUACCCUGGGCCUGCUACAACUCUCACCGGUAUUCAAACCAGGCGACUACUAGACAAGGGGAUUGAGCUCUGUUUAAUAGAUGUUGGUAACUUGACCCACCGAGUACUCUAAAGUUAGCAAGGCAUCGCAGCUGACGCUGCCCUCGCAUCAAAGCAACAGAAUCAUUAGCUACUACUAGGUAUUAUGAUAGAAGUCUGAAAGUCAUAAUCUAGCUUUGAAGGGCAUAAACCUAAUAAGAGGCUGGAGCCAUGUAUCCAAAUUGAUGCUUUCGUCUGGCCGCUACCGCUCUUAUUGCAAAGCUUCUUCUCUGGAAACGGAAACUACACUUGCUGAUUCUUCACCGACAGAUGAAACUAGAACGGAGCUAUCCUUUCCUUCCCGUGCUUGCUGCUGGACUUUAGCCUUGAAAGCAUUUGAGUUUACUCUUUACUUAUUUCUAUUAAUGUCACAAGCUAUAUUCUUUUCUGGCUGGGCUAAGCGCAUUCUUCUUCUUGUCUUGUCCGACCUAUACUUUCCGUUAUGAAUGGAAAUUGAGAAUAUAUCUCUUGCACCAGGAGCCCGGGACUACUUCAUUGAAUCUAGCUGCGCCCUUCGCACUACUUCAUUGAAUCUCUCUUUCACAUGGUAUAUAAGAAAGUCCAGUCAAGUCGAACAGGCAAUUCGAGUCGAUAUGAUGAAAGUAGAACUUCGCAUUCCGAGCCAUCAGCAUUACUAACUAUUGAUGAAGAAUGUCUUUCUUAGUAUUUUCAGUCUGAGUCUCCCAACCAACCGUCUUAGCAGGCAGGGCAUCAGUGAAUUCAUCCUCCUUGGACUUUCCCUCCUACAAGAUAGUGGCAGGCUACUAUGGCUUAUGGCGCCUUAUCUACACAGCUUCACCCUGGUUAGAAUAUAUGAACAGCAGAUCCAGAAUGAAAUAGAUCAACUUGACUUCUUUCUCUUUACUCCUGGGAGAGUCCAGUCCGUCCGCCUCCAAGUUUGUAGCCAGAUGGCAAAGAGGAAAUGCUUUAGUAAGGGGAGUUCGUGAAACGCGGGGCUUCAUUUCGAACUUAGAAAUCCAAUCCAAGAUCCGGAAUUGUAUAGGAUCGAUAUCAAUUAGUCUCGUGCCAAGUAUGAACAACUCCUUAGGGAAGAAGAACGGAGGUGCUGAAAGCCUCCCACUUCGUACUUACUAUCAGGAUCCUAACGUAGAAGCGGAUCUGGAUGUUUACUUGUCUGACUCUGACUGUGAGGCCAUUGAUAUCAACGUGGCAGAACUUAUUGCUGGAAAGCCUUAGACAUGCAAGGCUUUGACCAAACCGGACUCGAAGUCAUCGUACAGAGGAGUAUGAAUUUCAAGCAUGCAGCUCCCCUAAAAGAAAAGGACUCCUUUGACAUCACAUAAGCAGAUGAUAUCUUUGAUCAACUCUAUCAGGACAAACAAUGGCCAAGGACACCCGGAGAUCUAAGAUCCAAAAUCCGGAAAGUGGCACAACACCAGGAGACAGAAUACGUUAGUGUUGUUUGUUUUUCUCGUAAUGUGAUCCAGGAUGCAAUCGAGAAAGUCCGGCUCAGGUUCCCAGGCAAGCAGAAGGAUGUGUGAUAUAUAGGUGGAUCAGUAUCCAUUUCCUGAGACCAUGCCGGUUAACAUGUUGACUCCGAAGUUAAUGAGGGUAUUGGACACGUCAUCUGAAGAGCCGAAAAACACUAGUGCUUGUAACUGAAAGACUAGUGCUUGUAACUGAUUGAGCAAGUCCAAGGAAAGGAGCCAAUACAGGGAUAUAAAAAGAGUCUAGUACUUUGUGCUCGCUGCCACGCUGAAUGACAAGGGAGUGAACAGAGCAACCCGACCGCUCCCUCAGGGGAAAAGGGUUGAGAAGCCACGGCACGGUACCCCGCUACAAGUAUAGGAUGUCAAGAUUCCCCCCCAGGAGAAAAACGAAUCCAAAGGGUGGGAGCAUACCUGUGACAGCAAGUGAUCAGAAAGGAGUGACCUUCAACCUCCCGGCAAACGUGGUUCAAAUGAUGAUGAGUCAAGCUCCGUUCAGAGGUAACCCCAAUUUCAUGCUACCAAAUACUCCAGUGGCUCAAUGGUAUGAGCACAGACCCAGAAAUGCUCCUAACCGUUCCGAAAGAAGUUCCUAUGGAUCAAAUGAAACGGAGUAAGAAGUUGUGCUAAAGUUGUUACUAGUCCUGUGUUCGCUGUCGCGGCAGGGAGUUAAGGCGCGUUAGUGUUAUUCCGACUGCUGGGGCACAGUCUGAGCCUACUUAGUGUCAUUCCGAACCUACCCGGCAUCAGGCUCGGAAGCAUGGGUUUGAGCCUCAGUAGCACAAGUAUCAGGCUUGGAUUCACUGGUUGGUGUCCGAGUAGCCCUGGUACACAGGACACAGAAAUAGUAUACUCAUCGUCAACACCCGACCUAGACCUUACUUUGACGGUUAUGGCUCUUAACUACUCCACUACUCGGUUAAGCCUUAUUGUCUCCCAAUAGGGAAGGGAUUCCACUUUCAGUCAAACACCUGACCUAUCUACCACUACUAAUCAGAAUAAGGGAUCUAAUAACUGGGCCAAGCGUAUACUAUUGGACUGGAACCCGACUGACUACUUAAAGAAUCAACCCUGCAACAAAGCCUCGAACAGAAGAACCUAUAUCUCCACCACUACAAAUACAGAAGUAAACCAGCCGACCCGCGCCUAGCCUCAAAAGUCAGUAAACAAGCCCGACCCCUAGUAACUUCUUGAAACAACUACUCUAACAAGCAAGUCAGUAAACUACCCUCGCAUCAAACCGACCCAAACUUGUAUGUAAACUACCUUCGCCUCAAAGCAAGUACUCUCUGGCUCCGAUACCGUAGUCAUCCGAUACCGUAGUCAACUAAUAACGGAAUGAGGCUCAUCUAACUAGGGCUACUAUAAACAUCCUCUGACUCAUCUACCUAUGGUAACUCCACCUCUACUCCUCUUGCGGAUUAUAAUAAGGGUGCAAUUCUGUAACUCCCGCUGACGAGUUCAAUUCAGUAAUUCCUACUUCUGAGGUUGUCUCUUACUUCCGACUUCCUCGAAUAGUCUCUUUUCACUCAGGCUCCUUUGCCCACUUCUCCUCUUGCCCAAACUAACUCGUAUACCCUUAACGAAACUUCAAGUCAAGCCUUAUUGUCUCCCCAUAGGGAUGAAACUCGGGAUUCACCAACAACAAGAAAAGCACUCGAGCUGGAACAGGCAAUUAUCCACUACAACACUAAACAAUAAAAGUACUGGCAACCGACACAAGAACAUAAAUCCACUUUACUUACUGACUUUUGAAGAGUGGGGAAAUCGACUGGAAACACAGAAUUCCUACAGUAAGUCCAACUCUUGUACCUCCGCACCCACACACCUGACCCGAGCUACCUAGCAUCAAUCCAGAUACCCUUGCUUUCAGGCCGAGCCUACCUGGUUGAAGUCUUAAACUACAUAGCUGAAGUCCGAGAGAACAGUAGUCCAUUCUCUAACUACCCAGCUGCAGCCUCUAAUUCCAUGGCAUCAGUCCGGGGCCCACUAGCUCACCUCUCCUUGGACUCCUACUGGCUAGCUCCACUCACUGACUCUCCACUUAAGCCUGUAACUACUGAUUGUUAGGCUUACUACCCUUACUUUCAGGCUUGACCGCUUAUUAGUAGUGGUUGCAUUCUUACACUCUUCAUUCCAUUACUAGCACUCUUCAUUCCAUUACUAGACCAGUGGAGGACAGCAUAUCAGUAUGUUACUCCCUUGGUUCAUUCUAACUUGCCAACUAGCUCAACCUCGUUGCAUUCUUAGCCUUUAUCUUACAGUUGGAUUCACCAAUCCCUCACUCGUCCCAUUCUUUGACUCACUGGUGGAAUUCUGUAAUUGACUACUUUUAUUCUUCUAUAUAUUGGUUGUAGUCUUAGAUACACCGGUUGAAGACAGAUACCCUAGCUACCCAGCAGCAGUGGUGGAAUUCUAUCCCUCCGAACAAGCCCCACGACUAGCUGACCAACCAAUACAAGUAAUACCUAGCAUCCGAACAAAGGACUUUCACACGAAACUAGGGAUGACACUCACACUCGACAAACAAGAACAUACCCGACAGCAGCUUACUUGCAAUAUUCCUAUUCAGAAGCACUGGAUUCAGCUUCCUCGCCUCUCCUCUGUCUCUUAUCCGAUACCGUAGUUAACAAAUACAGUUAGGGCUCUGGACUACAAUACUGGUUGGGGCAAUUGACUUGAAUAGCUUCCCGAGCCUAUAAGUCAAAGAGACAAAGAGGCCCUGAGGAAUGUAACUGCCAACUAUCAAACUCAUGAUCGGGGGAGCUCCUGUCGCUAGUGCCCCUUAUAUAUCUGCGAGUAAAUUGGCUUACUUGUAGUUGCUGAUCUACCAGUUGCUUCUGCUGACUUGAGAACUGAGCUUGACCCUUCCCUUACCAGUAAACCUCCUUACGCUACUCCUACUAGUUUGGGAUUAAACUCUUCCUCUCACUGGCACCGAGUCCAACCCUAUUCUGAUGGACAGCUACUGACAGGACUACUACUUAGUUAGUAAGGAUUAUCAGAGUGGGAAUGGGAAGUUGGGGGACUGGUUUCAUUCUGACUUUCGAACAGGACCUUAUAGUAAUUUGGUGCGAGCAGAAGUAAAGUAUCUUGUCUGUUAAUGACUUAUUCCUAGUUGUGAGGUCAAUUCUGAGUGGCAUUGGUUCAAGUCUGUAACUCCCUUGUUGAAGUCUUUGACGAUUGUGGGAGUAUUCUUAGUCUGCUGAUGGGCUAGUUCAUUCUUAGACUGCUUAGGGACAUUCUGUGAUUGACGGGGUUAAGUCCGAGUCUACCCGGUUUGAUUCUUAUAUUAACAAAGGAGCUGCUUUCUCAUCUCCCUCGACUUCUGGCUCUUCUCUUGUAACUACUGAUUAUCUGGUCGACCUCUGUUAUUUAUUACUUUAUGAGCUUCCUCUCCUCGCCUCAAAGCCAGUAAGAUAGUCUGCCCCGACCUCUAAUAAGUGUUAACACCGAACCGACCUCCAAUAGACCCGAGCUCUGUAAUCUAAUUCUUAUUGAAAGAGCUAUACCUCUGUUGAUGAUCGGUAGGCUUACCACUAACUAAUUGGUUGCAUUCUUAAAUUAGUCAGCUCUGUUCUAUCCCUUAACUACCCCAACAAGAGGCGCCCCACACCCCACAAAGUCAGUAAACUAGAACUUACAAUAAGGGCCCCUAGUAACUUCUUUCCACAAGCCAAUCACCUACAGAUGAAACCCGGGUUUGAUAGCAAAGAGCUGGAUCAAGGAGCUAAAGUCUUAUAUUCUCGUUUUUAUUAGCCUUGUUAAUGGUGAUUUGGAUUCUGUUUUCUUAUAUUAAUGUUCAAAAGAAAGUCUCUUCGUUGUUGCAGCUAAGCUACGAGGAGUGAGGGCCAAGCAACUACUACAGCGGCAGGCUGCUCCUGUUCUGUUAUGAGCAAGUAAAGUUUUCGUCGACUUUUCUUAUUUAUUUGUGAUUUGAGAAAUUGAUUCAUCCCAUUCCAUUCUUAUUGUCUUCCCCAACUAGACCUAUAAGAAGUGCCCGACCCGAACUAACUCUAUCUGACUAGCUCACCUCUCGCUACAAAGACAGAUGCUACUGGGGAUGCAACUUACACUCGAACAGGAUCUUUUCCCUCUGGCUCAUCUCCCUAUGGCUCUUCUAACUCUCCUCUGGCUCACUUUCAUUCUUAUCCGAUACCUCUAUCUGUUCUCUUCUCUUCUGCUACUAUACCUGUCCUAUGUCUACGCCGUUCAAUUCUGCACUUCUUUUCUUUACUUCUAGCUUCCUCGCCUCAGCUUCCACUUAUGCUCUGUGAACUCAGGCUUAACUAACCAAUAAUCAGAAUCGAUAAGGUGCUUCUCUGGGCGUGGACAGCUGUUGAAUAAGGCUGGAUGUUGCCGGUGAGUCAGAUUGACUACUUAGUUCAAUUCGAACUUCCCUACUUUGGUCAUAUGAUAAGGAUCCAUCUUCGGCUGCUGUUGACUACCCGGUAAGAAUAGGGUUUCCAAGGAAUGAUUUCGAAUCGAUAUAAUGCAUUUCAAGCCUAUAUCUUUAGGAUCGGUAACUACCCUUCUUGUGCUAGUGCUCUUGAGUAGGAAAGGAAGAAUUCAACUAGCUACUAUCAACUACUGGCAAAAUUCACUGACUUACCGCAUCUGAUCUCGUAUACUACACUCGAACAGGAACUGUCAACUUUCACUCACACCCGACCCUAACUCUGUCAACAAUGAACUUCAUUCUUAUCCUAAGAACUAGUCUGUAUUUCGAUAGGUCGUUUCCUCAAUUCCCCUUGAUAGGGUUUUGCAUACCCUUUUGUAGUCGAUACAGAUCCUGAUUUAGAUGCAAUGGAUAACGUCCAAACAACUGCUAAUGUGGAGUAUGGAUUGGCAAGAGGCGCACGAGCACUGGAAUAGUAGGAGAGUUCCACUAAUAAGUCAGAAACAAGCUGACAAGUAAUGUAUAAUCAAGCAGACAAGCUACCAACCCAGUAAAUACUUCCUCUAAUGGCCAACCCAGUUCCGUUAUCCUUGAUUUUUCCUUAAUAAGAGAAUAUAUAAUUAAUUAGGGGACAAGUAACUACUAAUGUGUAGCGGCAGUGCAGUGCUACUGUGUAAGUGGAGCGUCAAGAUGUCGACUUUUCUGGAUUAUUUGUUCUUUGUGAAAUUGAUUCAUCGGGACUACCACUACUGGGAUGAAACCAGAGCCAGCAUAGUCACUGUCACUAAAACCCGGCAAAAAACAUAGCAUGGACAUUUCCCCUCCUGGAGCACCCGAAACGGACUUCCUUUUUUAAGAAACCCGUCUUUUUUCGUUGCAACCAAGUUUUCCCUCCUAAGGGGUUCCAUUUCCAUGAUCUUUUGGACGAAACCCGUGUUUUUUCAUAGCCAAGGUGAGAGCUCCUGCCGCGGAACAUUAGCAGUUCCUUGGCCCCUCCUGAGCCGAUCCAUUGAUCUUACAUUUUGACGUUUUCCCGUCUUUUUUGAUAGCAAAUAUAGACUUUCAGUACUUAUAGCUUAGCUUAAAAGCCGAUACCUGAUCUAUAUCCUUUCUCCCAUACCUCUGGCUACAACUCCCUAGUCAUUCACUCCUCUUGCUACAACUACUGGGCAGCUACUACUUUGACUACUACUAGUUGGGGGACUAGACUACUACUCCCCUGGCUUUCGUCUUUCUUUCUUCCAUUACUUUGUCCUUCUGGCAAUUCAAUUAGUAGUUCAUUUUCCACCCGAAUCUUGAGUUGAGGGUUCCCUUGUGGAAUCUUACUGCCGUGACCAAUAUUCAGCAAUUAGGCCUAUAGUAUCUAGUAUUUAUAUCCUUAGCAACUAGGCCUUAGCAACGAGUAUUUCUUAAUAUCCUGAGCAACAAGGCCUUAGCAACAGUAGAAAUUAGUAACAUACAUUAUAUACUUAUUUUAGUAACAACUACUAUAUGUACUUAUUUUAGUAACAACUACCUCUCCAUACCGAAUUCUAUAUUAGGCCUGAGUUAAGAAAGAGGUGAGUUAAGAAAUAGGAUUGAGUUAUCGGAAUAUUUGUAAUAACCUGUUCUUUAGUACCCUUUUCUUCCCCUACUCAGGAUACAACUUAUUCUUUAGUUCCUACUCCGGGGGUAGUUAAUUCCUCUCUUUGCCUUUGCUUUGUCGUAGUAGCUUGUCGACGUCCUCGUUUCUGCUUAAAAGCACAAAUAGUUUCUUCUGCCCUAACACUUGCCUUUCCUUCCUAUGCUUGACGACUAAUCACAUAUUGAAGACACUUAUCGGCUCUUAUACGGCAUUUUAUACUAUCAUCUUUGAGCAAACAAACGUAUAUUCUAGUGCACAGAAGUAAGUUAGUCAUUCCGUCGAAGAAGUAAGCUUACGCGAGUUGACAGAAAAGAAAAAGACUCCACUUUAGUACACCGUGCUCUUCAAAAGAAAAGCCCAUAAUCCGUAAGAGCAAUCAAUUGAGUUAGAGAGGCGACCUCUCCUCGACUUGAAGUAAAGAAGAGAAUUGCUCCAGUAGAGAUCCAUUAGGAAACAAGCCUACUACCCUUACCUUAAUGUUACUUCAAUGCCACACUUAAUAAUUUCCCGACCCUACUUCUAUUGUUUGAGCACCCGAACCCGUGUUUUUUGGUAGCAAUCAGUGAGCUCCUGCCGCGGAACGCGAACACAGGACUUGUUUAUAACUUGUAAUAUCUAUUAUUGCUGCUGCCGCGCAGCGGCUUGCGCCGUUGCUUGGCCCUUGGCCCCUCCUGGACCGAUCAAAAGGAAUUCUAUUUUUCCGGGAACUCCUGCCGCUACACUAACGUAGUUACUUGGCUCUGGAUUAUUUGUGAUUUCUCUUUUCUUGUUUUUUCUUCCUUGCCGGAUAGCUUUCAUUGCUUCCCUUGAGACCUCUACUCUGGCUCAUCUAAACAAGCUGCUUUCUCAUCUAACUUGAUUCUUAAAACACAUAGAAAGUAGGAUUCUUAAAACACAGAGCAAGUGGGCAAGCAUACAGAUUCAGAUAGUUGGGGACUUUACCGGUAUUUCACUAAUCUAGUUAUAGGCUUUAACCCCUUAUUUAGAGGGAGAGAACGAAGCAAAUUACUAGAAGGCCCUACUCUUUGGGCCCUACUUAUAAUACCAACCCGGAUUCUGUUUCUGACCUUGCCCACCUUGACUCUGGCUACUGGCUAAUCUCUAUCCUCUAGCUACGCCCUCGCUUUAAGGCCGUUACUCCCUAGGUCAAUUCUGUGACUUAUGAGUGGAAUUCUGAUGCUGACUAGUUUCUGAUUUCCCUAGGCAUUGGGAAUUAAUACCUUAACUACUAGCUCACCUCUUAGUUGCAUGUGAAGACUGGUUGGCAUUGGUCUCAUUCUUAGUUAUCUAUAUAAGGGCUUAGCCUUGCUCACCCUACCUUCAUUCUCGGACUUAUGGGGUUCACUCUGAUACUGGCUAAUUGGAUUCUGAAUAGUACUGGUUGGAUUCUGUAACUACUUAGGUUCAGUCUGCCUAGGCACCACAUCAGGCUCAGCGGUAUUGGUUGAAGCCUUAGCAACAGUGGUUCAAAACCCUAGCUACAUAGGCACCAGUCCCAUACGAGUAACUACCUAGCAUCGGACUUAGAAGCAUCAGUAUCAGGCUUGGAAGGCGGUGUUGCAUUCUUAGACUCCUGAGUGCAAUUCUGAUCUUAGUACUAGAGCAUUGGUCAAGCCUUAAUAAGUAGGGGCUUCCUUCUUAAAGAUAAGAAUUUUCAUUCAAGGCAGAAACUAACUAUAAGAGCAGCAGCUUACUUUAGAACCAGAACUAGGGCUGUGACUACUUAUACGGAUACUGAUCUUUACUUAAACUCAAACUUGGGCUUUUCACUCUUACUGGCCAUACUUUCAUUAUGUAUCUAACCUUUGAUCCUUACUUGCCUAUAUUAAUCUGACUAUACAAUAUCUUUUUCUUAAACUCAUUGGUACGAUAGACUAGAGCGCAUCUAACCUAAUAUUGGAAUAAACCCACUGCCUUGCAUUCUUGAGUUCGGUCCCGCCCUAACAGAUGAUAGGCCUGCCUCUCUGGAAUCUAAAACAGACAUUGCUUUAUCUCAGUCCUUCUUUGAUUCUUCCACCGCUUCCGGGCAUCCUGUAUUGACAGCUUAGGUAUGCCUCUCCCUUAUCGAAUUCUCUGUAUCGUGUCUUGCAUCCUAUAUUCCCUUAUUUCAAAAUAGAACCAGUGCUUGUGCUAUCAAGACUUGAGCUAGUGCCUAACGACUGAAACAAGAAAAUGGGCCAAGCCAACAAGUUUGUAUUUCGGUGUUAGUUGAGUUCGAGUCAAAGAAAUAGUCUCUGUGUUGAGCCGUUCGAGUGCUUGUUUGACUUGUGAAAUAAGAAAGAGGCAUAAGAUAAUUGAGUGCAAAGUGGAAUUGAGUGCAUGUCAACUUAAUUGUCCAAGCCAGACUUAUAUAUAAGCGUAAACAGAUUGUUCCGCUGUUGCUGGUGGUAUUGUUGCAGGGUUCAGAGAAGAUGGUACUGGCUUUGAAGCGGUAAGUCCUUCAUACUCGUUUCUUUCUUUCUGCUCUUGUUGAAUCGUUUCCAUAAUUUUAUUAAGAAUGCUUUGGUGCUGGUUCUGGACUGAAAGUUGACUUUAAUGAAAAAGGGAAUGGACUGUUCGACACUUGAAAAUAGAUCUAUACUCUUCACUCUCAUCUCAAGAUUCAAUUACUAGAGUGGAGAUUCCUGCUUGUUCAGGUAAAUAAUAUGGAUCAGAAGAAGUCCUAGUUAGUUAGUUCCUCUUUACUCACUUAAUCGUAUAAGCUAACCUUCUUAUUCUUAUGUAUGCCCUACACGUGAGCACCUACCUCGCAACAAUAAGACCUACAUACUGGGUAGUAUCAUUAAAGUAGAGAACAACCAACAGAAGAUGAAACACGGAACAAGCACGUGAGCUUAGUUUUUAAGCCAAAGUAACGUGAGUUGGGGUAAACAAGAAGGGCACUUUCUAAAAGAAGGAUAAAUAUAAUAAACUGGGAAAGUGGAGCUCUCUUCGGCGCAAGAAUAGAAAGGUUCCAUAAAAGCUCGGGGCAAGGUGCUAAGAGCCUGUAUUUGUUGCUGAAGCCCUCCACUCUAAAUCUUAUGUUCAAGCCUUAUUUGCCCUAAAUUCUCUUUGUAUAUUAGACGAGUAUCUUUCUGUGCGAGUUCAAGUCCCCUUGUUCCCGCAGCUUAAAGAAUUUCUCAUUUAGUGCUCCCCCAAUUAUAUAAAGAAGAAAGUCAGAGUAAGAAGACACUCCCGAAAGCAAAAAACAGGGGCAAGUAAUACAUACUUCUGAAGCACUAACUGAGUUCAAAGAGACUGUUCGAAGUAUGCAAGAGAAUCAGCAUCAGCAGGAUUAGUUCCAAAGUCAGUAACUUAAUUGCCUGUUCGCGAGGUAAAGUAUCAAGUGGAGUUCAACAAUCAACGGAACCAGCAAGCGCUAACAAGAUUAGUCAACGGAACCAGCAAGCGCUAACAAGAUUAGAUGCUGCAUCAGGAGAAUCAUCAGCAGCAGUAUCCAUAUCCGGGGUAACUUGAGAAGAAGUUGUUCUUGUGUUGGCAACGAGAAAACCCGUUUGAUUAGCAGCAGUCUAUUUACUUCAUUCAAUCUAUACCAUUACCCUGUGCUCGAUAAUCAAUUAAGGGGCCAUACAGCAAGAAGUCAAGUGUUUGAGGGAAAGGCGAAGUCAAGAGCAGAGCCAGCAGUAAUAACUCGCAUUAGGGAUUCGGUUCCUUUUGCGAUUCCAUUCUUUCUUUCUCUUGUCUUUCGCACCUUUGAAGCAGUUUUAUUACUUUCACUAUAGAUGUAAGCAGUGAGGCAGAAUAGAGUGAUUCAAGCUUAAAGUCAGCUGCAAGUGGAGAAGCAAGGGGACAAGUGCUGACCUCUUUCCUUUACUUGCUCAUAACUCACUACCUACUAGCAGCCCAGCCGCUAUAACUCGGCUCCUGCCGCCGACGAAAGCAGAAAUUGUAAUAGGAAAGGUCAUUGUGGAUAUUCCAUUAUUUGUGCUAUUGCUAGUCUUUACUAGUGGGACCGCCGUCGCGAACACAGUGGUCUCUCUCUGACCAGGACCAGGAACCGAAUCUACUAUUUCUAUUGACAUUAUCACAGGAACCGAAUCUACUAUUUCUAUUGACAUUAGAAGGGGUAUUAAUGGGUUUGCUGUGGAUCAACCUCCAAAUGGAUUGGAUUCACAGUACUCUAUAGGUUUGCAUCGCAAUGAUCCUGACAUAAAAGAAAAGCUCAAUCUCUCGGCUUGGCUCACGUUUUAGCACUUAGGAAUAAGCCGAACUCAACAAGCGCAACGUUAAGUCACUCGCGUAAGCACAAGCAAACUCCGUUCAAGGACUUUCGAGCAAGCAAGUGAAGAGCCAGACUUCAUCUUAGUAGCUGAUGUCACCCGUAUUCUAAUCACUAAGGCCAGAGAAAAGAUGAUCUAUUUUAUUUCAAUGUGAUUUCCAUAAAUGUUUCAUGCAUGUUUGUUACCGGGCGCAAUAAGAUCAAGUUGGUAAGGAGCAAAUUCUCCUCUAUUUGGAUUAAUAUAUAUAUUUUCUGAUGAUAGAAGAUAGCGUCACACAUAUAGAAGAGUGUCAACAAACAUCCUACAGCUUUUUUCGUCCUGUCCUCGCCUCGGGGUCAAAUGCUUUCUUUUCUCUUUGUCAUUACUUCAAUAUUAACCUCUGUGUUUCAUUACUGUAUUCUUAUAACUAACACGAGCUCAGUUGCUAGUUCUGUUGCGUAAUUCUGUUAGCGCUUAAUUCUAUGUUGUGUUGCUUGUUUAUAUAGUUCCCCUAUCUGCUCUCGUGGCGCGUUAUCUUAUUUGAUUGAGUUUCAGUUGUGCCUCAAUUCGUUCGUUCUGAAAGAGUAAUCCGUUUCGUUACUUGAUUUUCUUCUAUUAGUGGCAUAGUGGUCAAUUCCAUUCCUGUCCUGGUUUACUUACAUUCUCAAAAACAGCAUUUCUUUGGGCAAAAGAGAGGACCUCCCAGUGAUAGAAUCCCCUGCUUGCUUUUUCACUCCCCUUAGAAUGAAUGUACAAGAUGGUUUCUCUACCUGGGGCAUCUGUGAUCAAAUUCCACAAUUAGUACGGCUUUCUGACUUUCCUCUGAAGUAAUCCUCAUAUCCGUGUACUCCACAAUUCCCCUUCACAGCUCUCCUUUCAGGAACCAAUGGUGCCAUGUGUAGCCGGGCAGAUAGCGACUGCAGGGAGGAGAGUUAGCCUAUUGAAGCAAAGCACUCUUUAUGGGCUUUCUCAGCAUGACUUUCGCACUCCAAAGAAAGACAAAAAGUGAAAGGUGGACGCAGGCGAUCAACUGGAGAUCUCCUAAGUAAGUAAUCAUAGCGGAUCCAAUCCCUCUCUAUAACUGGCUUGCUUGAGCCGCGCAGAUCCAAUCCCUCUCUCUCUAUAACUGGCUUGCUUGAGCCGCAUCGAUGAUUUCCUUCAGCCUAUCCCCACGCAAAGCAAUUGUCCUUCCUAAAAACUCACAGCUUUUCUCUUCUGAUUCCUAAGAGAGCCAGAGCCCAUUGAACGAACUUACCUAUUUCAUACCUAACUGCCCCAUUGUAUCAAACUUGUUAGCUUCUUACCCGGAAACUCCCACUAGUCACAAUCAAUAGUAAUCCCGCAACCUGGCUCUGUCCUCCUUCCCCAUACCUGAUAGAAAACAACAACCUUUAGUACUAUAUUUCUUUAGGAACCCACUGUACCUGUAACGUUGAACCAUGUCAGUAAACUGUGGAAAGUACGCCCUAAAGUCAAGGCCCCGGAGAUAGGAUUUCUCAACAGUCGAUCGACGUGACAAUCAUGCCUGCUUCACAAAGAAAGCCUUUCUUUUAAGUCUACCCAAUCAAAAACAAUAAGAAUUGCUGGUGACAUGAUGCUCGACGCUCUCUUUCCUAUUCUACUGCACCUAAGUGUCCCUUGCUGCUUUCUAUGAUUGAGUGAGAAGUCUAAUUGCCUACAAUCCUCCAAUCUUCAAUUAGAGUGUCUACAAUCCUCCAAUCUCCAAUCGAAGUCUAAUUGCCUACAAUCCUCCAAUCUCUAAUCAGAGAACAAAUGCAAAGUACCGAGGCAAGCAAAAAGAUGAAAGUUAGACCACAUGUUAUCAGUGAAGGAAUUCAAGGCAAACUCAUGGCUAAGGCGAUCCAAAGUCAGAGGUAGAUUCUUUGAUUGGGGGUUCGGGUCUGUCCUAAGUAUAGGGUUCGGGUCCAUAAGCAAGUAUAAGCUGGUGCCUAACAUGCUUCAAGCAAAGGGAUUCACCUGAGUGCCUUAGUGAGUUUACAACCUCGUCCAGUAUUUGAGUCAUUAGUCGCGCAGAAAUAGAGAUUUUAGGCUUACGUGAGUUCUUUGAAUAGAAUCUAGAUCACAUACAUAUGAUAGAAUAAAGAAAUCUAUCCAUCAAUAAAUAUGAAUAGAAUCCACACGGUGAACUCGCAUUAGAAACCGGAGCACUCCAACCUAACCUGCGAGAAGCGGUGACUACUUUUGACCACUUAGCGCUGAAAAGGCUAUAAAGUCAGAGCAAUCAGUUGACUUCAGAAGCACGGACUCCACUGGGCGAGAUCGUGAUCGUAUAGACACUUGGCUUUCCACUUAGCCUAGAGCAGAAAGAAUGGAAUUGAUGACACUACUAAUAGAUAAGAGUGAAGACUUGAUAUAGAUAAGAGUAAAGACUUGAUACUAUACUUGAGACUUGCCUGAAGCCAGAAAUGGCUGAAUGGAAUUGCACAGCCGAUGAUCCUGACUAUGAUCUUUGGCUACUUGACGGGCACUGCUUUCACGCCUGAACAAGCAUAAGAUCUUUUGGAUUUUCUAACUCGCAACAAACACUUUCAAGUCCUGUUUAUUAGAGGGUUAGAUCUCUAAGGUAACUCACUACCCCAUGUACUCUUUCCAAUAAGAAGUAGAAUACCGGUCGCCAACAAGCACUUCAGGAACUCUUCCGAUAAAGUCACUUCUUGUCUUCAACUUACUAUAGGGGCCUCUUCUGAAACUGGAAUUUCAUCUAUUGGCGAGUCAACAGAUGCGGAAUUCCUUCUUUCGAGCAAUGCAUAUUGUAGAGAAUUGCCUGUUACUAGGGUAGGCAGGUUGACUUACUUGUACAAGGGUGGGGGCGGAGUAAAGUAAAGGCUUUGAUUCUAUAAGUACGGAGAGUGAGAGUCUAGGUAUGCAAGGUAAGCUAUUCAAUAGUUGGCAGCAGAGGAGUUACAGAGGUAUAGCUUAGUAUUAGUAUAGGGGUUGUCUUAGUAUUCUUCUCGUAGGAUUCUACCUUCCCUUCCAAUGAAACUAGAAAGUCAUAUAAAUGAAACUAGAAACACCUGAUCCACAUCUUCUCUGGCAACUAUUAACUGAGAAACUUGACUUGACGCAUCCCUUUCCACUUGCUCUUCUCUGGCAACAAGGUCUUCAACAAGAACUAUAGCACUGAAACUACUUAAAACACAUAGCUAGUAGGCAAGCAUUCCCUCUUCUACCCCUGGCUCUUGCAACUAACCACUCCUCUUCUCUGUCCUGUGUGCGCCUUAUGUACUAGAUGCACCAAGUAACUACUAAUGUGUAGCGGUAGGAGUUAAAGACUACUUAGUUCAAUUCUGUAACUCUACCUUAUUAGCCCAGCUCUGAUUCUUAUACUUACUGGUGGAAUAAUGACCAAGCUUGCAAGUAGACAGGAAAGAAACUCCACUUUAAUAACUCCCUAACUUACAAUAGGGCUGUCUCUUUGAACUCUGGCUGUUAUGAUCCUGAUAGCAAUUCUGAACUUCAGUACUUAGCCCUGGUAUUGAACAAAACAAGUAUUGAACUAAAGAAUCUAGAAACUCUAUACCGUUAGCGCACAUCGGAUUCUUUUGCUUGUCGAACUCUACUUGAAGAACCACUUCCCUCUAAUGCUUCGUCUACUUCUUUGAAUCCACAACUGGCCUUGCUCUGCUCCACCUAUGACUGAUGGCUCUGGACCACUACGGGCGCUUGGGUAACUCAAUCUAUUCUAUUCUUUCAAGUAAAGGCGCUUGGGUAACUCUCCUCAAUGGUGGCAGGGAACAGCCCAAACAAUCAUAUCGUCGUCUGCGGACUCGGGAACAGCCCAAACAAUCAUAUAAGGUAUUAGAGCAAAAGGUCAAAGAGAUGAGGCUGAGGCUUCUGAUCCAACUCCUUAUCCGGUUUAUGUAGCAGACUUUCACACUCCCCUUGAAAGAACCGCGAAAACAAUACUUGGCAGGAGAAAAGUAGUCAAUUAAGCAAGUUGUAUAACCCAUGUGUGAAGCAAGUAGUAAAUAGAGAAGUUGUUGCUAAGUAGUUAGCUUGGCCCCUAGUAACUACUUGUUAUGUGUUUGUACUACUGGGCACUGGACUUGUCAAGCAUCUUAUUCUGUUGAGCCUUCUCUGGCUUCACCACCCUAUGCCUCCGCCUAACCUUCACUUUAAUGCUUAGCUUUCCCUUGUAGUGAUCAAAAGAAUGUAGAAUGCUUAGCUUUCCCUUGUAGUGAUCAAAAGAAUGUAGUUCGGCUCGCUAAAGUAGUUUACUAUUUCUUUCAAUGAAUGAGCCAGAGGGUUUAUUCCUUCAUUAUAGAGUGGAAGUUCAAUCAGUUCAAUCUAGUUCCGCGCUAAGAAGAUCUUUGCCUACUUAUGUUCUUAGCCUGACAGCUGACCCUUGCAAGCCAACACCAGACUUUAACUAAACUAUAGAGUUCAAUACCAGAGUUAUGGAAUGGAAGGCACCUAGACGUUACAGGGGAUUCAACUACUCAUGAAGGGGAUGAAACAACUAAUAAAGGUGCUGAAAGCCACUCGGUAUUCAACUAUAGCACCAAACCUAUCUCUACCCUUAACAUCAAGUAAAGACUUAUUGUCUACCAAUAGGGAUUCCACUCGGUAUGAAACAGGCAUUAGUUCCAUUCUUCCUUCCUUAUGCGAGGUUGAAUUCUUACUUGGUCUAUCCGUGUCUUGGCCCAGUUGUGUUCUAGGCCUUGCCCAGUUGCUUGGCCUGAUAACUACUAGGGAUAUAAUUCCAUAGGUACUCGAAAUAGCGAUAAGAAGAAAUAGUCAACUACUUUCAACAAUAACUCCCGACUUGGGGCUUGUUUUGAUUCUGUGACUACUGAGUUGCAUUCUGAUCUAGUGGCUACUAGUUCAUUUCUUAUUGACUAGACUCUAGCACUACUUAGUUCAAUUCUGCACUGAACUUCCUUCACUGUAAACUAAAAACUCCAGUUCGUUUUCUACCUUCCUACCUUAAUUCUUACUUGAAACUAGCACUCCUCUUUCUGACCCUACUCUAGCUGACCCUACUCUUGCGCCUUGUAUCUAAGGUAGGAAUAUGACCCUUUCUUUACUAAACUAGCUUAACUAAGAACUCACUAUAGCUUGUUUCGAGCGCAGAAGUCAAUAAUGAAGAUCUUCUUGAUGCUGACUUUCCUCUUACAACACUUGUGCACCUUCUGAAACUCUAAAGUCAGAAUGAAAGAAUGGGGAAUUUCUGAGGCCUUCUUUCUAUACGGUAUAUGUCCAAAUGUAUAGAUUUUCAUGUUAACGAGGGAAAUGAUGGUAUUUGUUGCGAGAUAGAGAGCCCACUAUGCAAUCUGAAUCUAUGAAAUGCUAUGCUAUAGGGAGGUUCAUAAGAUUCCCAUGAGUUUCUACUUUUCUCAUUCGUCUAUCAUUAGCUUGUUCCGCAACUACUGGACGGUUGAUAAUCUAGUAGUAGUUCCCUGGCUCGUUGCUUGGCCCCCAAAUGAAUUUCAUGAUUGUUUGCCCCAUUAGGCUGAAACACCUGUAGAAAGAAGUAACACCAACAACUGCCCCGACCUAUCCUGGAAGUUAAGACCCACUUGCGACAGGCUCUGCUCUAUCUGCUUCCUUUCGCCCGAGAUACCCGAUUGCAGCUUACUCGUUGUUCUAUAGAUCCAUGUAAAGACUAACUCAACUUGCCAGCGCAUUGGAUACUAGGGGAGCGGGUACGCGCAUUCAAUGAUUUUCCCUAUGCCUCUUUCUUUUAUCCUACACAUCUUUCUUCUCAUUUAAAUCCACUUUCUUUUAGACUUCACCCAUUUAACAACUUAGAUCAAUGUCGGUAACUAACCUACUAACACCUCUGUCAACUGGCAACUCAACUUACCUGGCCUCCCUCUUUGUUUGAUUAUAUGAUCUUCCUUAUUACUCUUCCCUAUAGUAGGAUUCCACUCGCCUCCAAAGAAUUAAGAAAACUGGGAUUACUCGUAGUGAGUGACUUCUAAACAGGUAGUGAGUGACUUCUAAGCAGGUAGUGAGUGAUGAGCAAGUCCGCCAAGACACUACUAAUGUGUCGCGGCAGAGCCGCUAUUCCACUGCUAUCCGAGGUGACUUCUUUCUCUUAUACCAACUAAGGCGACUCUAUUCGAUAUACCCCACUUCGAUAUACCCCACGAUGGACUAGCUAACCUGCCCUCUUGCCUUGACUUGGAAAUAUUCCUUCUUGCCCUUGCUUUAAGAGCAAAUAUCUGCACCCAACCUGGCAAGAACUAUAAAGUAUUUCCUCACUCACACUGAACAAGCACCAACACACAAGUCAACUUUUCAAAGCACUUAACUCACACAACAACUGAUUCCUUUGGCACUGAUCCAAAUCCCUCUCCUUAUCUUGCUUUGGCUUCUUCUCCAGAUACUUAUUAUACUCUAUCUUUUGAUUUUGCUUUGGCUUCUCCUGAUCGAGCUAGCGGAUAGUUCUGUUCUCUAACAGCUUUCCUUGUCGAAACUUCUUAUAGAGGCCCAAACUGUCUUCAGUAAAGUCAAUAAAUACGGAAUUGCACUCUGAAGUAGUAAAGUUCUCAUUUAGGAAUCUCAUUUCAUAAUUGAGCACUAGUGGGUUAGGUUAGGUUAGUUGCUCUUUCCUUAUUUAAUGGUUAGGUUAGUUGCUCUUUCCUUAUUUCAUAAUAUAGUGGAAGUUUGAAGAGCAGGUUUGCAAUGUACCGGGGGUUGGAGCUGGAUCGGUACAAAAGCCAGAGGUUGGUAACGUCACUUAGUCUCUUUCUGUGCCAGUGUUGUAAGUAAAGGAAGCAUCAUCGAAAGAUGGAAAUCAAGUCGUUUGUGGACUUCGGAACAAGACUCAGUUUCCAUAUAGAAUUCAAAUCGCAACGUAGUAAGAUAGUACAAGCUUUGAAGGUAUCCUCUAGUAGUAGUUGAGUUAGCUUAGUUUAGUGUCUUUUAGUUCCACUGAAAUCUGUCUUUGUUGUCCGUUAUUCAUGUGUGCGGAACGCCAUUCUUUACGUUUUUGCUGUCAGGAGGUUGUUUAGUAACUUCUAUAAUAGGUGUGUAAGAGAGAAUCAAUUAAAUGAACUCGUUAACGUGAGCUUCGCGCAACUAAGUAACUCGCUAACGGAGCGCACCCGGUGAGUCUCUAAUUUACGUGAGUGACAUAUAGAUGUGGGUGCCGAUAUUACCUAUUUGGUUGGUGUUUUCUGAACAGAGCCUUAUCACCAGCCUGCACUUCAUAACAAUCUUGUUCAAUUCCUUGGUGACUUUAGGAACCCCUUUUCUUUCCUAUUUGAUUGAUGUCGGCAUCCCUAAACUAGAAAGAAUAGAAUAGAAUCUACCUAGCUUCAUAUAGAAGAGCGGAACCCAACUGCUUACUUUCAUGCUCCUGACUCUACACUUGUUGAACAAAUAGGCACCGAACAACAGAAGCGGAAUAUCUGAUAACUCCGUAAGUGCCCUGUCUAACAGUAAUUUCAUAUCUCUUUCCAUUAGCACAAGUCAAAGCAGGAAUUGAUAAACCAACUUAUCUAACGUGCAGAUAAUCUUUGAUCUUCCCGGAAUCCUUCUUUUUGAAACCUUCCUUCCCUUUUUGCCAAACUCUAUUUGAAAGUGCCUUCCCAACACCGUGUAGCCAGUACUAUAUGAUUACCUUAACAGAACAACAACUCUAUUAGCUGAAGUCCAAUCAAAGAAUGAAACAACUCCCCGGCACACAACCGGAGUCUUCCCUGACCGAAACUAAACUAACUGAACCGACAAAUAGCCUGGUUCUUGCCCUCACUCGCUUUCGCACUAGGGCUUUCGCGAACUCGCCUAUAGCUUCUAACUCAACUCAUUUCAACGACUUUCCCUUUAGCCUCUAACUAACACUCGAAUAACUCCUACCAUUGCUACCAUUGCUACCGCGCAACUAGAACUCUCUGCCGCCCCCUUAAUACAGGUUCACUCAGGAAUUGUCAAGUUGCUUGACCCUGUCACUUAUGGGUUGAAGCCUGAGAAGCACCGGCGGAAGCCUUACACCUACUAGCUCUCCAUUCCAAUACUGCUUAGCUCCCGAACACAGGACUCGUUCACCAAUUCUCUGAGUCACUGAUAUGAUACAGAUUCUCCGCAUCUAGUAGUAGCUCGCCCAUUAGUAGUGUCUUUGUCUAGUAGUGGAAAGUAGUUCUCUGAAGUAAGAAUACCUGUUAGCCGGCAACUCGUAAGUCAAAGAAUGCAUAUAGCAACUAUAAACUACUGGCAAAGAAUUCCACUAGCAACUAUGAAUUGCCCUAGUAUAGAACUCGUUAUUGUGCUUACUUUUAGACUCAUAAUUCCACUAUCAACUCUUUAUUGCCCUAGUAUAGAACUCGUUAUUGUGCUUACUUUCUUUCUACAGCUUAUUCAGUUGGUAACCGUCAGGAGCGAGGAGGUAGGUUACUGAAACUAGUGAGUUAGUAGUUAGGUUCCAAUUAACACUUUUGACUUGAAGAACAGCUUGUAUACUUUGUCCUUAUCUCCGGGUGGGGUGGCUUGGGAAUAUCCCUCCUCAGAGAGGUUAUUGUGUCUGUAACUCACUAAAGGUAGGCUUUUCAGAGGGAGUCCUAAUUCCAUGGCGUCAGUAAGUAAAGAAACAGAAACAGAAUCAUUAGCAAGAGCGAACACUAGCGGCAGUGAGCUUAUGAGUUUUCUCCCUAAUUUCAUCUGUGCAAGUAGAUUUAUUGGGGUUUGUUGGUGAUGAGUCUACUUCAGGUCCUGCACUACCUUUCUUAUGAGACCUCCUAAGGCUUACAGAGGUAUGUAUUCUUACUAGAUCUUAGUAUCGGAGUAGCGGGAAGUCUAUUAAUAAGUAGCAGCUGACGCUGCCCUUGCUUCUUAGGUUUCUGGUUUGAGUCCCCUAAUACCUUUUCUUGGUCUGCCAUUCCUUUACUGAAGUCUCUCACUGCUUACUUGAUAACUCGCUUCUAGGCUUUAGGCUUCUGCUGCUUACUUAUCUCUUUGCUUUUUAGCUUCUAAUAUCUUAUUACUAAUUAGGCUUGGCUCCACUUCUUCCUCUAAUACUAGAACUUGGAACUAGGGUUUUCACUGCCGAUAACAUGGGUCGAUGUAAUUGAGCUACAGGAAAGAAUCAACCUUGUAAUAAAGAGAAUGAAAACAUCGCGAUCAAAGGAAUCCCGGUGUAGUAUGCUGAGAGACAGAAUAUCAGAAUGGAAUUACCAUGAAUAAGACUUCCACUCAUAGCUCGAAACUCCUAAUCCUUAAUGCCCUGCCUUCCGGGCUUAUUAACCUUUAUCUCAUUCUUUAGUGGCAGCUGAAAACUUCCCCUACUUACUAUUAGAGCCAAAACGACUAUGAUCAAUUACUCGCCUGUCUCUCCUAUGGUAACUAUUAACUUCAUUCAACAAGUGUAGCUAGAGUUCGAUGAGAAAGAGAAGGAUCCGAGGCAGGAAAAGAAUCCGGGGAGUGUAGAAUUACUAUAAUUACCUGGAAAGCUGGGUUACUGGAUUUAUUGAAGUCUGUAUUUCUUUAUUUCCUUAGCUGUAUUCUUUAUUUCUUACUUAGUCUACUUGUCUGCUUUUUGGGAUGAAAGAUAUGAUACUUCCUUACUUAGAUCAAAGCAAGUUAAGAGCAUUAUACUAGAGGGUGGGCCGAGAGAGAAAGAGAAACAGGAUUGGUUAGUUACUAAGAUCUAUAAGAACUGAAAUUGAGUAGUUGCUUGGCCAGUUAUAGUUUCAUCCCCACAGUGUCAUCAACGACUUUCGAGCUCCCUUCCGCGCCUCUCACACUAACGCGUAACGAGUUUACUGAGAUAAGAAAGAAAUCAAUGAAUCCAGAAAUGUAGUUAAACGGCAGAAGAUCUGAUGCCGGGCCCCAGGUGUUAAGAAUACAGAUCAGGUCUAGGCUUAAGUGCUUGUGUUAAGCAAAGAACAAAUCUAGAAUCUAAGUCUACUUGGCCCCUACUUAAUCCUAUCUAUUCUUAUUAAGGAUUUAGUUUCGAAAGAUCUUCUUAUUCUUAUUAAAGAGAAAGUUGAGAACGAGUCCAGUCCUGUGUGAGCCUUAGUGUUAGGAUCGGAGUGGGAAUGGAGUAGCUCCUUAGCACAACGUUAGAAGUUGCUUGGCCCCCGCAUCUGGUAUAGGAUUGAUAGCUAUGGCGAUCAGAAUUGAACCAGUAAGGGCAAGAAUGCACCCAGGAAAUCAAAGAGAGGAGAGAAAGAGACUCAGCCUACUGCUCCUUGAAACCCACCCCUAGUACUGGCAAAGUAUACCUUGCUAUGAAAAAAGACGGGAAAACGCAAAAUGAUCAUGAGAAAUUGGACAUCUAUUAGCGGAAAUGACUUCGCUACCUUUUUUCUCGGGAAACUGGGCUCCUGCCGCGUAACGUUAGUAGUUACUUGCCUCCUAAAAUUCUCUAUCAAUUGGAUCGGUCUAUUAGCUAAAAUAAGGUUGCUGCCUUUUUUCCCGUGUUUUGGUGAAGUGGAAUUACUUGUUUACUGACUUGGCGGGUAGGCUUGUGGAAUUCCAAUUGACUAGCUAACCCUUAGUUACACAUCAUACAUGUCUUGGCGGAUAACUUGGACUCUCUUUAUAUAUGAAACCACUUCAGAAAGUAGAGUUUACAGUUCCAUUUCCCUUCUUGUAUAGGUCGGAUCGGGGUUAACACUUAUUAGAGGUUGGGUCGGGUAUAGUAGAGAAUUGCCUGUUCCAGGUCGAGUUAGAGUUAACACCAAGUGCUUUCCUUUGCCCCUGUUCGAGGUAAGCUUAUGAAUUGCCAGUUCAAGUUCUAUGGUUUACAGCCCAAACUAGUAAACGAGUAGUCCAGAGCCAGAUCAGAGGAGAGAUCCGAGGCAAGAUCAGAGGAGAGGCAAGAGAGGUCAGCUGUGGAAAGAGAAUAAGCUGUGUAGAGAUCCGGGGGUAAUAUUCCUCAACCUUAUAAGCUUGAUAGACUCCAUGAAAAUCCUUUCCUGCUACCCCAACUGCUGAAGAUCUUUAUCCUGACUUUAGAACUGAUCCCGAGAAAACAUCUGAUAUGUCCCUCGUUGCCCGAAAGAAGGACUUGUUUAAGAAAAGUGAAACUUCAAUUUGGGAUAUAGAAUAAGACUCAGUCCUGUGGGAAUCUUUCUUCUGGCGCGGUGUGAUCCAAGUCCUCAAUGUUACGCUGUAGCUCUAAGGUUAACUCCUAAUGUUAAAGUCAAAAGGAUGCUAUUAAGGUAUGGGUCAGGGUCUGAUUCCUCUCUUAUAUACUUUCUUUGGUUCUAAAGAUUCCAUUAAUGACUUGAUUGCCGGAACCCCAACUUCAGUAUCAGGGGUCGGAGCAGGCUUGCUCAUAACGAGUUUCAUAGUUUCCUGUUGCCAUAGGAUGGGUAUAGUAGCAAUAGAUAAAAGAGGUAGAAUAGCUAUAGGAUCAAGAUUCCAGAUAGGGGGUCAAGAUGUUAGGCAUCAAAAUGCAUUCGUUGGACAGUGCACAUCAUUUAUUGAUGAGUGAUGAGUUGGGCUAUAAAAUGAGGGCAAUAAGGCAACCUUUUUGUUCAGGGUAGUGCUGAGGAUGCAGGCGCUAGGGGAGAGUUUUUCUAGUUUCAUGAGUUGUCGAUUCAGAAAGGGGAGGGUAGUUUACUUACUUGUGUCGUGUAGGGGAAGGGGAGUUGACUUCCUUUUUGAAUUCAGUUACUAGGCUAGGAAGCCCACCGAUUGCCCGCAUCUAAUAGACUAUACCAAGACUACUUAGAGAUUGAACUCACCGAUGACAAACUCAUAAGUAGGAAUGCAAGAAUGCAACUAAGCUGUAAAAGAAUGAAGCAUAUGAGCCAAGCCGAUAAGCUACUUCUUAACUCUUUCACUCCCUAGUGAUUCACUCCCUUCCCUGGGUGAACUGAUUGUAUGUAGUAUAGUAGCUUGUAAGACGGUAACCCCAAUUUCCCUGCCCUCUCUGGAGUGGCAUCUGCUCUUUAGAGUGUUAGUAUAAUGUACUUCUUGUAGUUAUACUUCUUUAGGGUAACCGUCAGUAUAGGUUGUUUUCAUGAUAUCUUAAUAACAAAGCUCUUUGCUGGUUAAUCGCGUAAUAGAAGCGAAACCAACUAAAGGAAAAGAAAGAGAUUAUGAAACCUACCGAUGUAAUGAGGGAAACUAAAACAAACCCAUAUACUAUGCAUCUCCCCUAUACGUGUAAAACCUUCUCUUUCUUAUUCAAAUUCUAAUGAGGAAAGGAGAAAACUACUGAGGAUAUGACAAAUAUCCCGAGAGAGACCCCAUCUCAUGUGACCCCAAGGCCAAUUAGUAACAUUGGAAACAUCAAUUAGUCAAAAAAUAAGUGAAAUUAGUAACAAUAAGUCACAGCAGGAAGACUCCACUAGGGAAGGGGCCGUCGCGUCAGCGAGCUAAAAGGCGCGGCAGGGCUGCUAUAGUUCCCAGUUAUGUAGGCCAAGUAACUGCUAAUGUUACGCGGCAGCCACAAUAGCAUGUUAUAACUUGGCCAAGCAACGGCGCGCCAAGACACUCGGCCAAGUAACUACUAACCAAGCCGAUCUAGGCGCGGUAGCGAGCUAUAAUAGCGGCAGUUGUUUUGACAAUAAGAAACAACAUCAAGUAUAUUUAUGUUGAGUUAUUGCCGAGUCCUGUGUUCGGGAACAUAAUGGUUUUUUUUACUAGGACAUAAGAAUAAGUAGAUAUACGGUGCAUCCCAGGCCUUACUUGUGUGACUUCUCAGUCUGAACUACCCUUCUCUCUUUCCUUCCUACUGGCCAACAAAUCUGGUUUGUUAGUGAAAGUCUGCCACUACGCUAACUAGCCUCAUCACUCUGGUCUUUACUGUAUCUCAGCAUGUUCCUACUGCCUGCCAUUCUGUAUCGAGCCCUAGAUUCUUAUUAUGUUGAUUUGUAUUCAUGAUAAUGAUUAUGUUUACUUAUAUUUAUAUGCAUUGAUUUAUAUGUGUGUUAAUAUAUAGUAAUUGAUUCUAGUGUAUCCUACGACGCUAGGACAGAAUUGAACAAAUAAGUAGAAGAGGCAAGCAACGUACAUUAUCACAGAACUCAACCCGUAGCCGAGCCUUAUUAUUGAGCAUCGAUCCAACAAACCUCAAUCGUUAGUUAAUUGAACUCCGCUGUCCAAGUCAUAAAGCUACUACUAGCUCUUAGCCCGAUCUUCCCAGCUUUGAUUCUUGCUUCGCAGUUCGGGCCUGUCUCUCUGGAUUUGGAUUCUACCAUUCCCGGACCUACGUCUUGCUUUGUUAGCUUCCCUUACUUGCUUUUAGUCUAUCUUUUCUCGAACCAGAUUGACUUUCGCCAAUACCAAUAUGAAAGAGGCAAUUAAGAGACUAGUUUGUUAGCGUACGAGACCGGACAAGUAACUAAAGACAUAAUUCCACUCAAAAGAUAUAAUGGAACUGGGCCCAGCCCCUUACUAUUGAUAUACUAAUCCAAAAUCUGGCUUUACCGUCUCUAGGCUUACUGCCCGGAUCUAACAUAUGGAUUUGGUAUCGGCGGUUCCAUUCUACCUAGUUAUAGUGAAAUUCUUUGCAUCAUCUUUUCUUAUUAUAUUAUCAGUAGCUCAGCUCUUUUCUAAUAAGUACUUUUAGAUUCUUCCAGGUAUUAGUAAGCUUGUUUGCUUCUCAAGGUUAUAGGCAGGAAAGUCAUACUCUAGCUCGUUAAGGGGCAGCCGCUACACUAGUUCUCUUUCUCACUUAACACAGGUCAAAAAAGCAGAAAGAAAACACUCUUUUGGGUCUCUUCCCGUAUGCACUGGAUCAUAUCUCACUUCUUUAUUUCACUAGUGUUGAGAACGCUUGACUGUGUACUAUGCCCUUAUUCUUAUACUAUGGAGCUUAUACUAUGGAGCUUCCGCUAUGGAGUUUGGUUCUAUGUUCUACUAACCAUGUCCUGUAUUCACGAUAUACGUCUGAUACGGCGCCUAGAGAUAUAACUUCUAUUAAUAUAUGGCUGUUACUUAUGUGUUUCGUUCCUGUUCGACUUGUCCCUACUACUAAUAAGUUUCAUCCUGAUGCUUACUCCUAUUAGUCUACUACUGGUGCUUACUCCUAUUAUACGAUGUGCUAUGUCAUACACAUAUUCUUAUUCCCUUUUGAGUAUAGAUGCACUGGCAAUUAUGUAUUAGGGCCCCUAUGAAUCACAUUCCUUUUUCUAAGGAACAGUAUUGGUAGCACUAGUUGUAGCAUCAAAGCAAGUAAAGCCGGGGAAUGUAAGCAAGGAUAUUAGGACUCAUUUUCUAUAUUGAUUCUUUUACCCAUAUUGAUUGAGUUGCUAGUUAAAGGAAGAGGCGGACUAGCAAGGAGUAGCAGGGCGAUGAGUUCUAGUUUGGAGUCCUUUUUUGAAUGGAACUCAUUGGCAUAGGAAUGACCAUGGAAAGUUUGAAUUAAAGGACCGAGUCACAGAAUUGACACUAUUUCUUCUAAUAAUGGAGUGGGCAGGUGCGUAGAUCAAUAAGGUCAGGGUACCUGGCUAAGUUAUCCAAUUCUCAAGUCAGGAUACCUGGGCUACUAUGGGCUAAGAAAUGAACUAAUUAGUCAAAGAAUGCUUGUAGUGUUGUGCGUGUGAACAGAUGUAGCCAAGUAAAUAAAAGAAUGGAAAUAGAAUCUAGGGCAAAUGCCCCGCAAGGUAGGAAGCCGGAAUUGCACUCAGUAGUAACGGAAUCAAAGCUGUUGACUUAACCACAUAAGCUAGCCUCGUACCACUAGCUACUACCGAUAAGACUGAUGAAACACCCCAGUGGAUUGAACUGCCAUUCCUUUCUUUUGGCCCGAGACAUCCUAAACCGAAACAACUGAUUCAGAUACUUUAGCCGCGGAUAUAGAACCUCCUCCACAGCUCAAGGCUUGCUCCACUGGCUUCAAUACCUUAUCUUCCCAUAAUGAAUUCCACUAAUGCCUUAAGGGCUACCGCACCUACCGUAUAUGUCAAGUAUGGCUUUCCUGCCUUUAGGUCUCCUAUUGCUCUAUCCUAUUCUCCAAUUACUGCCCUAGAACCUUGCCUUACAUACUACAAGCUUUAUUCCCUCUUCCACGCCUCUACUCCUUAGUUGCACAUCUUAUCCUAUCUAUCCCAUCUAUAAGUCGUACUAUAUCCUCUCUAGGCCUGGCACUGCUAUAUCAAGGGAUCCGACAUACCAUCCCAGUCUAAUACCUCCUCUUGGAAUAAUGAAUUACUAAAACUAGAAACAAGACCGGUGCCACUAAUAUGAAAAGGGUAGCACCUACCCCCACACGAGAAUCACUUUUAUGCUAAGAAAGAAUUAAGCUACGACUAUUAGAUUGAAACACUACCUUGUCAGAGUAGAGGUCCUAUACUGGCAGUAAUGAACCAAAGAACAAUAACUUUACAUACAUAAUGGGAACAACGAUAGGAGAUCAGAAUACAAAUCAAACUAACAACACUGACUCCGCUAACUUGGAAUUCCGAUGGUGCCUAUAAGAUUGACACCGGGCUACUAACUAUAGAAAUGGGUCUACUACUUAAGUGAAGAGAAAACAAAACCUAUUGCUUCUGGAGCCAACUAGGAAUUACGCUCAUUGAUAUCAGAACCAAACCCAUCAAUCAGCAUAUGGAACGAAGCUACCCCACAGUAUUGCUUGUAUCGGUAGCACAUGGGUAGCAACGAACGUAUCAAUAGCAUAGGUAGCAAUGAAAACCAUAUUGAUUGAUUGCGCGUACGCGUAUCAAUAGCACAUAGGUAGUAUCAAUACAAUAACAGAGCAGAAGAGAGUUAGACAGAAGAGAGUUUCUUCCGUGCCAAAUCUAUUCUAUUCUCUUAUCCCCGUGCCAAAUCUAUUCUAUUCUCUUAUAAUAAUUAGAAUAUAGUUGAUUCAGUGCCAAUGCAAUAUAUGACUUUGAGCAGCAUAUACUACUUUUCACUGAUUGGUAUAGGGAUGCCUAGCUUACUUGCACAGCACAGUCAACACACCUACACACGGAGAAAAGAAACAAACACAUCUAGAGCUGCUAGUCACUCAUUAUUCAAGUCAAAUAACUCAUGCAUUGCAGGGCCGGGCAAUCAUUCUUGUCGUAAAAGCCCUUAAGCCCGAAAGUCACAUCAGUAAGUCUGUUAGCGGACCCACGUUCUGUUGAUUAGGGUCAACGUCGACGUCAACGAGCAUACCCCGCAGAGAACUAAGUCGAUAGUUCGGGUCGGUGGUCCACACACUCGUUCUGUUAGGUCAUUCAAUCAUUCUGAAAGUCACAUCGAUAAGUAUGUCGAGCAGAAGUAACAUCAACAAGUAUGUCGAGUAGCGCCCCCGUUCUGUGAGCGGUAAUUCACUCUGUCUUCGAACGGGGAUCAUCUCUCCGCUCGGUCAUUAACUCUGUCUUCGCGGAUCAUCGCUCAUUCAUAGAGGUGUGAUCAACUGGUCUAGGUGCCCUUUCCUUGGAAUGGGUCCCAUAUUUCUGUGUUGAAUCAUCAAAUGACAAAUCAUGUGUUUCAGCCUUAGACCCCGGAGAGAUAUUCUGUAUUCUUAGCAAUAUUCUUAGUAGUAAAGUCGCUAUUGUCUUAUCCUACUUAGUGGAAUUAUGUCUUCAAUCAUAGAUCUGUAGACUGAACACUGGAAUCACAGAUAUAUAGUGAAGCGAUAAAGUUUCGCUGGUUUUUGACCUUAUUUAGCUUAGCAAAUAGAAAGAAGUUUUACUAUACAGCAAAAGAAUAAUGAAUGGAAUGUAGUUGCGCGGCUAGCUUAGCGUAACUCUUUUCGGCAGUUGAACUAGACAAGUGUUUUCAUAUCAAAUAGGGGAGCCUUACUCUCCCAUCCCUAAGCUAAGCCCCAACCCCCUUGCUCUAACUCUAACUACUCUUACUUAUAUUCUUCAAAUAAUAGCUCUGGCCCUGCCUUGCUUUCGGUCUUACUACCAAACUCUGCAACUAAAUACUUUCAUCUUGCCCACAAGAACAGUAUGCCGAUCCCUUGAUCUUGGUCUACCGUCUAAAACAUACACUGCUCUGUCUCAUUCCCGCGCUGUUUAGUUUCAAUAUGAUGGGCCCUCUUCUGCUAAUAAGAGUAGAAUUGCUGUUUCUAAGAAUCGACCUGGGGAUAAAGAAUACACCUACCGUGCAGAGAUGUGGUAAGUAACCAUUAGAAUGGAACAGGUGUUGACAAGAAUGACCUACCAACUAGGAAACCUCAAAAGAAUAGAAAUAGUACUCAUCGGACCUUCUACUACUAAUAUCAGAAUAUGACUACCGCUUCCAGAGCUUAACUUAACUACAUAACUCAGGUCGAUCUCGAACCUCGCUCUACCAUACCGCCGCCUGCCCCUCUUUUUGCAUUCCGCAUUGAUAGCUUGAGUAUUGAACUCCCCUAUCUUAGGCUUACUUUACGACUUCUGUCCUUACUGCCCGGCAUCCACAUAUGUAUUUGUCCCACCAAGCAACCCAUAUCACUCUGACGCUCCCGGCGCUUAGUCUAAAAUGAAUUCCUUCUAGCCUUAAAGCGACUAUUCUCAGUGUACUAUUACUAUUAAAUGACAAACUUGUGCUUCUCGUAACCUCCUCUCUAAACAUAGGAUCGAACAAGGUGCUUUUGAGUCUAAUGAAUGCACUACUAUUUCUAUCAAGUAGUAUGCCCACUUUCUCAAAAGAAAGGUGCUAAGAGCGUUCACCCUGUCACUAGAAAGAAAGGAAUAUCGGCAAGGAAAGGAAUAUCGGCUGCUCAACCUGUCACUAGAAAGAAAGGUGCUAAGAGCGUUCACCCAACACUAGAGAGUACUUGAUUCUGGCCUUUGCUUCUUGCCCUUGUUUGCUUGUUGAGAGCACCUGUUCUAUGAUUUUGUAAGCGCUAACUGAGGUAUGCACUGCAACUCUCAUACUUUUCUAUGACGGGAUCCUCAAUAAGAAGAUAAAGGCGAGGAUCUUCAUCCACGACAGGAGGAAGCCUUAAGCGGUGCCGACUCUGCCAGCCUUUUGUCCUAUUAGUUUCGCUUUCAAAGGAGUCAAUGGGAAAACUAGGGAUAUGGAUUCAUUAGGUUCAAAUUCUCCUUUUGUUCUUUUAAGGCAUAAGAGAGGAGGGAACAACCAUUGUGAAUGAUGCUAAGCUAUCAAAAGUCACUACGCAACCUCUACUCAAGAGUACGUAAGAGAUGAGGGAGGAUCGAUCGGAUCGGGCUUUUAUUUAAAAUCAAGCAUUCUGACCCUAGCCUAUCUCACCAUGGAAGUUUCUAGCCUUAGCAUAUAGGGCGGUCCUUAAGCGGUAACGGAGGCCGUGUUUCACUGAUACUUUCCCAUAUAAGGAGUGGAUGCUGGUGAGCUGCUCAAUAAUACUUGUUCUCCUAAAAUAUUUGGAAAUCUCCCUUGAGGGUAGGGAUGACUCUUUUAGCAGCAUAUGUCCCCUAGGGUUUGAUCUCCCUUAAAGCUUCUUCUUUGGUGUAACAAUGGCUUAAGGCCGAAUUCAUCUUCUUCCAUCCCUGCACUGUUAUACGUGCCAAUCCUUUCCAUUCAAGCUCGGGCCGUAGGUGUAAGAUCCCAGUUCUUCGGUGCAGUUAAGAGGUGGGGCUAGCUAAUGCAGUUAAGAGGUGGGGCUAGCGAAACUUACUCCACUUCAUAGAUCUCUCUUCUGCUCUCCGCAUCAAUGGCAUGAGAAUUCUUUGGCUUUGUCAGGCAAUGGCAUGAACUGGGGACUGCUAAACAAGCUUAGAUUUCUCAUUUCCUGAUCAUUAUCGAAAUCACCAUUUGCUAACUCUCACAAUCAACGAGCGAAGAUAAGCAGAGAAUUGUGCUUGUGUUGGGUUGGGGAGAAAAGGUUUUCUCAAUCCCCGUCUUCUAAUCCAGUAGGAGCCAUCCUUGCCUAAUCCAGAAUGUGAGAGAGUUGCAAUCAUCUCCAGAAUGUGAGAGAGUUGCAAUCAUAACUAAAUAAGGAAGCACUCAAUCGCAGCUUGAUGGGCUCUAGCUCUAAAUGGCCCAAUCCAGCAUCGCCGAAUCCACCCGAUCAAAUGUUCGUUUUCUCAAAAGGAAAGGUUCAAAAAGGGUGCGUGCGCGCUUCAAGGCUAGGUGCAUUAUUGGAUUGGCACUCUUGCUUUCACUUAGGGUUUAGAUCGGGAUUCUUGUUUUACCAGCUAAGCAUUUCAGGGGUUGGUUAAUAGACGCUUUAAGAGCAACGGGCCCCAUAAGAAAAGAGGUUGAUAGACACUAGACCUAUAGGGGGAGGGAGGAAGCGACUGAAAGGAUAAGGAUAGGGUCGAUGUCAUUUAGUCCGAUCUUUUUUGGAAAAGGGAGAACGAACCUUGACUUGCGAAUAACUCACUAUCGACUAUAAGCCCUGGGGAAACUAAUAUUAUAGCUAAUCCCUUAUGUUGCCCGCGUAACGGCUGUUCUAAUGCAUUUGUAGCCUUAAUGAAAGUACUGGACGAGGUUGUCAACUUACUAAGACAACUCAGGUUCGCGUCAGUCUCAAUUAGUUCGUCUGUGAGAGUAUAAAGAAGCAGUUCUCAAGUCAGCAGCAAGUUCAAAUAGAGAGUUUUCCUUGGCUUACGUUGAGUUCUUGUUUUCUCGGUAUUAGCGAGUUGACCUGUAGCUUAUAUAAGUGGGGAGAUAUUCCAUUCUUUCUUGAUUUGUGUUCCUCUGUGUAACGGGAAGGGAGAUGACAUUCCUCUGAUAUAUAUGCACAAGAUAGAGAUGAAAUGAAUGGUUGACUCGGCGCUAAGAGAAGAGGCUAAAGAUAGAAAGUCUACAUCGACUCCAGAAUCGGCAUAAGAAAGAUCUUCAGCAGGAGAAAGUUAGUCAGCUAAAAGCGGGAAGGAGAAGGAGCGGGAAGGAGAACUGUUAGGACAGAGGCAGAGGAUUGAUCCACGUGCUAAAGGAAAGGGUGUUUCAGUUGACAGAGAAGAGUUUCGAAAGCGAUAAGCUGCAAGCGCAGUGGGAAGUUCCUUAGUCGGCUUGUCUAUACUAAGCUUGGCCGGGUCGGGUGCCGCUGUAGCUCAAACAAAGUGGUUUCGUGGAGUCGGAUUGAAGGUUCUGUUCUGAAAGUGUGGAGUACGGUUUACAGUAAAGUCGACCAUAGAAGAAGAAGUGCGGAAGAAAGUCAAAAGUGACCUACUUGCUAACUCUAAACAAUCUGAACUCAGCUAGUCAACCCCGCCCAAUAGGUUUCUAGUGACGGCUAGGAAAGCUCCUAUGUAAUCUAUAAUACGGAAUACUUUUCUCUUUAGGUGCGACUUAAUCUUUUGGAAAGUUCUUUACUUGUGUUGUCAACGAGAGAUUCCGCUGUUCGAAAGGAAGCAGAGCGGUACUAUUCCUUAGAGUCAGAAGGGGGCUUGAACGCCUUUCCCUCAAACACUUAACUUCGAGCAGUAGGGCGGGUACAGGACUUCUUUUGCCGAGGAGAACACAAAUCAACAUUAUACAGGCUUUUGCGCCAUCUCAUUCUUUCAUUUACACUCCUUACGCUAAACUCUCUAACGCACAAGCAAAACAAGUAAUGGAAACUCUAUAAGCAAGUUACAUAUAGAAGGCUGGUAAUAUUCAAUCUUUCUAUACAAUACUAUAUUCUCUUCUUUACAAGUCCACAAAUACGGAAUUUCCUCUUUCUCUCGCAGAAGCAUCAGAUUUUAUUGCUUGCUCUUGACUUUCGACUUACUCUUUACUUUUUGCCAUUAAUUAAGCUAUCGGCAAAAGACAAUUGAGGCCUUUUGCUCUAGGUUCAAAAAGAAUGGAAUGGAUGUCGGCUCUGCACUUCGAGAAGAAACUCACUUUAUCGUUGGUGCUUGUUCUGUUUACUGCUGGGGCGCACCACCUGUUCUGCUUUAGAUAGGAGGCCUUUUUGAUAUGAUAUCGUCAGAGAUAAGGAGAAGAGAGAAGCUUCCAGAUACCAACCAUUCUGCCCUGAACACUACUAAUAACUCCUUGCGAGACAAUCUGUUUACCUUUUUUGAUGGCCCACACAAGAACGAAACGAAACUUGCAGAACCGAUCGUCGUCAACACAAGAACGGAUGAAACUCACGAUGAAACAAGAACUGAAUCACUUUAAGACCUGGCAGCUGCUUCCUUACCAACUGAUGAUCUUUAUUCUGCCCUAUCUCUUCGGCUUCUGUAUAGGAGGAUCAACUUAUUGUCUUAGCGCAGUAGGAAGUAAUGGAUUCCGCCCUGAACCCAACUAGUAACAGAUAUACAAGUAGGCGCCAAGUAACGGAUAGACAAGUAGUCAAGCAACUACCCUUUCAUAACAGACCUCUACUCAAGUGCUGACAAUAUAACUCUACUGGAAUUGUUUCACACAAGCACCAACACAAGUCUCUCCUCUCUUUACUUAGAGCCAAUCACUUAUCUUUACUACUUCCCACUUGCAGCACUAGCAGCUUACGACUGAACCCUCUUAUCUCUAUGACCUAACUCACCCUGCUUCUUUAUAAGAUGAAACAAGGGAUGACUUUCUCACUUCCUCUGAUCCUGAUACAGGCAAUUCUAUAAUAAUCUAAUAAUUCAUUUCUAAAUAAGAAAGAUAAGAGUCAGCAGCGUAAGGAAAGGAAGCAAGAGAAUCCGCUGUGUGAGUUUAAUCCUGGGCAACUGGGCUGGCAGUUCUAGUUGAAUACCGAGUAACGUCUAGGUUCCUUCGAGAAAGAGGCUAUGGUUAGUUACAAUGUAAUCAAGCUACUCCCUUAAGCAGACAAGCAGACCCUUCCUUAUAGUGUGGACUACGGAGAGGUCGGGUAUAGUAAAGAAUUGCCUGGUACCAGAGGAUAGGUCGGCUUUGUAAGCUAUGAAAGAAAGUCUAGUUCUUGCCCCAACGGGUAGUGGAGUAGUUAAGAGCCAUAACAGUCAAAGUAAGGUCUAGGUCGGGUGUUGACGAUGAGUAUACUAUUUCUGUGUCCUGUGUACUAGAGUGUUGAGUAAGUCAGUAGUAAGUCCUAAGUGUUGAGUAAGUCAGUAGUAAGCCCUAAGUAAACUAGUUAUUAGUAAGCCCUAAGCCCUAAGUUAGUAGCUAGUAAGCCCUUUAGUGGAAUUCUUUGUUUCAUCAGUAGUAGUUGACAAAGCGGAGGGAGAUGAGAAAGCAGCUCAGUAGUCAAUAUCAGCUGUGCCAAGCCGGGUGCUCUUUCUCUCAAUACGGAAAGUCAGAGACCAACUCAGAAGGCUAAGUCAGAAUGUCCCUAAGCAGUCUAAGAAUCAAACUAACUAGUCCAAGGCCAAGCAACGGCGAGUCCUAAUUCUUCCUCAGACAGGCGAAGACAGGACUUUGUUAUAACUCAUUAUAGAACGAACGUAUUUAUAAGAAUCUAUUCCUUGCUUUGACAUUAAGUAUGUAGGCUAAAUAAAUGGGCAUGUAGGUUUUCCUUUUUCCACUACAUAAAGAGGCAUGUGUAUGCUUGACUUUGACCCUACCCGGAACCCUGACUACCUACCCGGAACCCUGACUAUAAGAAAUCCGCCUUAUGAAACACAUAACUUAGAUUGGAUGUUACAAUGUUAUGUUAUUCAAUGAGCCUUUCACCAGUAAGCCCCAGACAAUAAGAUAAGGGAGUAGCAUAUGACAAUAUGAUAAGGGAGUAGCAUCUAGUAUAUAAGUAACGUAUUUCAUGAGUCGUGGGGGAUUCUACCAUUCUCUUUUAUGUGCACUAACUAACUAACUAACGCCGACGAAGAAAGCAUCGGACUUCAUUAUCACUCCUACGGACGCGCAAUGCCUUGUGUCAUUGCUAGUUUGCUUAGUAGUUUGUUGGAACUCACCGGACUAACGCACCCCGUGAAAUAAGCGUGAGCGCCAUGGCUAGUUUGUUCCCCUGUGCUAACGCUAGUUUUCAAUAGGGAUAUAAUCUACUCUACAAAUUCAUCUAAUAUACAAAACUUUCGAAUAGAAAAUAAGUGACAUCUAAUGGAAUCGAAUAGCAUUCCAAUAAAUAACCGAUAUGAGCUUCUAUCAUUACUCACUACUUCAUUACUCACUACUUGAAUAACAUAACAUUACAUUUCUUCCAUUUCUGCCCUCUUGCUUAAGUACAGAGGAAAGGUUCGGAACAAGCGAAAAGUAGCAUAUAGGUACCAAUAUCUAUUCUUCUAGUAUACAAGUAGCUCCAUAUCUAUUAUUCUAGUAUACAAGUCGCUUUGUAGGGAGAGAGCCCAGUCAGCGACACAGAAAUGGGAAAUGCACCCCACACACAAUACCCAAGUAAGAAACAGAGCGGGGGACAGGAUUUCGGUCUCGGGGAGAAAGCUUUUUCUUUUAUUUCGAGGCAGAAGAAGGAGACAGAGGUUAGAGAAUCUAUCGAAAGAGAAAGAGGUGAAUUAGCCGAAUCAGACAGACCUGUCGAUGAAACUAUAGAGUACGCAUUAACUGGUUUCUUUUAUUGAGUACGCAGCAUUAACUGGUUUCUUUUCUGGCUAAAAGGGGGAAAGCGGAAACCCUGUUUGGUCCAACUCCAGGAGGUUAACCCCACGCGGUCUUUGAGAAGGCGGAACGGGAAGCUAACCUAAGUGGUGGUCAGGACAAUCACAAUCUCGUCCCUGGUUCAGAGGCCAGGCGCCCGCCUACGCGGACAGGAGUCGAUCGAUUGAGGGCUUGGAACUUGGAAGCCAAGUCAGCACUGGGACAACAAAGGCGGUAGAGCGCUAGCGUAGGGUCGGCAGUAAUUGCGGUUUACCCCUCAAUCUGUAGGGAAUAAGUACUUGGCAGGUACCGAACCCCGGAAGAAAUAAUCCCAUCCAUUCGAAUUCUAACGCCGAACCAAUCUCUACGCUACGAGAAGGAGCUACAGCCUACUUAACCGACACAAGCUUCAGAGCAUAAAAACGGAAAGAAUACUUAUGAGAGAAGAGAACAACCCUCGCAGAUUGAUGACAAACAAAGACAAAGGAAAGGGACAAGGCACAACACAAGACAAGGAAAUGUCCCAACAACAAAGGAAAGGGGCAAGGCAAAAGGAAAUGUCUCAUCAACAAAGAGAAAGAAGGUUAGCCUCAGAAAAGAGAGUGGAUUCAAGACUUAUGAAUAGUAUCAAUCAGUUCAAGUUCCAUUCUGCAUUCCGGUUUCACUUGUGCGUAAGAGAAAGGAGUUGUUGAAGGUAAGCUAGUUUCUUUUGUAUAAGAUAAGUAAUUAGAGAGAUAGAUUUCACUAGGUACUACUGUCUUACGAAAUAGAUUAAGCGGGUAAUCAGAAUAACUUAGAUGCGAUGUGCAUUGUAUUCCAUUCUUCAAGCAACAGGUAUAUCCCUAUCAGCAACAUCAAUCUGGGUUUACAGUGGUGUUGUCGGUUAAUUAAUCUCAGUUCGACUUUCAUCUUACACGGAAGCGGAAGAGAAUGACCACGCCACAUGUUAGGCAAAAAGUGUCAGGAUAUCGAGCAAGCUAGAAGGCAAAUCUAGGGCUGAUUAACAUUCUAUCAGUAAACGAUCUAUCCCUACAUUUAGAGUCGGAAGUAGUAGGGAGUCGUAUAAGAGCAGAGAAUCAGUACAAGUCCUAUGGAUCUGGUGUUCUGUAAGUCUCUCUUAUUGUUAUCUUUCCUUUCUAUUGGCGCAUAUUGUCUGAGGGAAGUCCCUUGCUAGGCCAAAGAAACUAUUCCUUCCCGAGUAGGUUGUUGCUGUUCAGAUAAGAAUCACUAUCAUCAGACGGGGAUACUGGGAUGCUAACGCUUAUUGGAGUUUUUGGUCGGUAACUAUAUUGUCUGAAGAAACGAAAGAUUCAAUCCAAGUUUGACUUGCCCUCACGGGAAGGGAGUGAGUUUAGAGUGUCAAUUCCUAUUAGAUAGACGGGUGAGAUAUAUUCUUGUGUUUCCGUUUCCAUUGAAGGAGGUGAUUGGCGCUUUACCUCGUGGAGAGGAGGAGAUAGGUGAAGUGAAAGUUCCAGUCUGGUUUUGGGGAGUUACGUGGGCAGUCAGGUAUUCGAUCUAUAGGAGUCUACUUCUGGUCCUAGUGAAUCUGUCUUUGUUGGUUGGUUGGACACUCAAUUGCCUGUCCUAGUUCGAGGUCAGUUAUGAAAGUGUAGUUUCAGUGAGAAGGUAGUAAAGAAACAGUACUCUAGCAAGAAAGCAGAAUAGAAGUAGUGACUAUUGAAUACCUUCACUCAGGCCUAAUAUAUAAUGAAAGCUUGAGUGGAGGUCGGCAAGGGGACAACUAAUCUGGAUAAACCGGAGGGGGGUGUUUCUUUUCGCAGCUAAGGGCAUUUAGUAGAAAAGGUGUUCUUUUUCACAGCAUAACUUCAAAGGUGUUCAUUUUCACAGCAUCGGGCAUUUAGGAUAUUCAGCCGUAACUAUGGGACAAGUAACCUAAAGUAACGAGUACCUUUCGAGUACCUUAAGGAGCAAUAACAGAAUGUGAUAGAAUUCCAUAUGUACUAGAAAUAGCGAUAAGAAGAAAUAGUCAACUACUUGAAACUAUCACUCCCGGCUCAUCUAACUUCAUUUCUUUUAUACCGGAAUUAGUAUACGCUUUUGUCUCUGACUCUCGAAUCCAAUUAUGACUUUCUGAAAAGACGACUAAUAGUCAUUAAACUACUCCUAAUUAGAGCUGUUAGGGGGAAUAAUAGAGAAUAUCCUACUUUAUGCGCGGGGAAUAAAAGAAUAUCCUCCUUGCUUUGGCUUAUGAGGGGUGAGUUCAAAGAUACUGUAAGGAUGAAACCCAGAAGGGCACUUUCUAAACCAUUAGCAGCUGACCUCUUUGACUUUAGCCAACACCUAAUUCUUUACCUGAACUAGACACUCCUUGCCCAGGCUCUACUCCGGAUCCUUAAGCUUGUUAGUGGACCUCGCCUCAAAGUUAGUAAGAUAGUAUGUCCGCCCUUAGUCUGCCCUGAACCCAGCUUCUGUAUCAAAGCCCUCUUUCUAUUAGUUUAGUAGUCAAUUCCAUUCUAUAGUUUCCUUUCCUCGAACAGAACCGUUUACCGCUGAUGAUCCUGUUCUGCUUACUUUAGCCUCUGAUACUGCUGCCGAUCCUACUCCUGAUCUAGCAUCUGAAACUGCUCUUGAAACUGGAACUGGAUUGGAGACUUUUGACUUCUUAUCCUCUAUCUACUUUUACACUGAAUCACUUAAUCCAGCAUCUGAUCAUAAUUCUGAUACUGCUUAUUCUGUUACUUCAGCACCUGUCACACGAAACUCAUUCUGAUUCCUAAACUGCUCUUUCAACACUCUAAACUCAGGUACCAGAUUGGAUAUAUAACUCAUAAAGAUAAGUACUAGCACCCGAAACAAUACUGGAAAUGAAACUUGAUACUGGACCUCGACCUGGCAAUACUUAGUUUAGUGCUGAAGUCAACAAAGAAUGAAAGUUGUACUGUUCUUGUUCUAAAGGGUUUUAUUAAAGAGGAAAGAAACUACCGGUUCUCUCAAGUAGGAAAGUUCGAAUUGAACUCCAAGGUCAGAAAUCAGAGAUAGUUAUUCUAGAAGCAAGUAAUAAUUAAGGAUGAACACUAGGCUAGUGUUCGUCUACCUGCCUAUAUAAAGAGAAGAACCAAGCUCUCCACUAGUUCAUAGGGAAUUCCUCACUAAAAGGUAAAGGUCGGAAUUGACAAAUCAAAGGGAAUGCUUUAUCAAUUCAUUUCCAGUUGUACCUGUCGCAAAUUAGAACUUGCGUAGAUAAUGCUCUUCAUUCCUCUGUCCCAUUUCUAUAUAUACAUAUAUAAUCAUAGUGUUGAGUUGGCUAAAAUAGAGAUGAAGUAAACAUCAUAUACACAUGGAAUCAUUGCUAGAUCUAAUCCCGUAUUGGUUCGAUAAAUAGUGAGCCUAAUAAUGGUCUUUUCAAUAAACAAAUGGGAAACUUCAGAUUAAUAUGCUCUGGAAUGUUGGAAAUUAGGGAAUGUCCACAAUACUUAUAUAAGAUCCCCAAUUAGAGUAGGGAGGUAUUUCUUAGGUUCAGUAAUGAGAGCUUGACAGAAGAAUGGAAUAAGUUUCCAAUAAUUUCAGAUAGAGAUCAUUUCAUUGAAAUUUGGUAGAAAGAUAGAAAUUGGUAGAACCCUUGCCUUGAGAAACGAAAGAGAUGCUGUGUCUGAAUCACUAACUCUUAUGAAUUAUAUGUACCCCCGCGGGAUUCAUUUUGAUUACCUGUAGAGAUAUGCAAGAACAAACCUUUUUAUUGGAAACAUUCCUCUAAGAAAUCCCCCUGGAACCCUUAUUGUCAAUGUAAUAUAAAGAUAGUAAAUGGAAUCUACAGAUCUCAUUGUGAUCAAUCAACAUAUUGAAAAGUCAAGUAUUUACUACCAUUCCAAAUUAUACCAUAACAGAAUUGCUGUCUUUACCCGCGCGCACUAUAAUAUCAGAUUGGGUAGUAGGGGGAAAAGAGAAUAAUUGAGAAGGAUUGGUCCAGAGGGAAACUAGGUCUUAGGAGUGAAAGAGUCUUUUUUUUGUUACUGCCGCGCUACUGACUAUGUUGCUUGGCCCCCCAUUUAUUCUCAUUCUCAUUCUGAUCACACUUACCGCAACAAGCUGAGGGCAGCAUCUCUUCUCUUUACUACCUUCUCUGUGACCUCUGUCUCCUCUACCUCUGCUGGCUACUGUCAUGAGGCUCUGUUGCUUGGCCCCCCACUUUUCUUUACGUACUAUUAUGCUUACUAUACCAGCUGAUGUAGCAUUAUAGACUAGACUGUAUUGUGACUUUUGCUACCAUCAGGAGAAAUCGAACCCAUUCCCCUGUUCCACAUUAUGAUAUAUAUAUAUAUAACCCAUACCUCUGUUCCACAUUAAUAGAGAAUCAUCAUAUAAGAAAUCAUAAGAAUAUAGAAUAUAAGGUGAGUUUUCAAUAAUGAAUAUGGGGUUUUUCUAAGUUAACGUCUUUCUUCGGUAGCUGGUUCGGGGUAAAUAAUGGUAAAUACGAAUUCACUGUAUUUCUGACCGGGAACAGGACCUAUAAUAAGAAUAUUGAUUUGAUUGGGACGAGAACUCUGAGAAGAAAUCAUUUCCUAUCUGUUCUUUCCACUCAGGAGAAAUACGAUCAAUCAGGGGGGGGAAGAGUCGGGUAAUAAGAGAACAGCCCAUACAUUCAAAGCCCCGUUUUUACCAUUAGCAAGAACUUGUUUCAGUUGAGCUUAUCAUAAGGGAUUCGAACUACAGCUUCAAUCAAAUACAGUAUAAGGAAGCACUGCUUGCGUAACUUCAAUAUCAACUAUUAGCGAAAUAGCAAUUGGCACAUAGAAUUCAUUCGUCCACCCACUUCCUUGCUUCUCGCAGAUAUAACCCUGCAGCGCAUAAAUAGGAUAUGCAUUUUCUAUAGAUGCCCCAGUUAUGACAUAUAUCAUCAUCGAUACAGAAAUGGAUCGAGUCAUCUCUUUAUCGAUACAGAAAUAGAUCGCUUACUUUACCCAAGCUCAAAAGAAAGUAUUUUGCAUGUCAAUCAUUGAUCCCGGAAUUUCUACCUGAAAUCAGAUAGGUCGCUAGUAUUGUUCCCUAUACACGAGUCUGUCAUUGUACUGGAAUAUAGGACGAAUACCAGCAACAGAUAGAAGUCUCAAUAAAGAAGUAAAAGCUUUCAAAUGCUCUUUCUUUAUACACGAGAGGAAGAUUCAUUCUCAUUUUGGAUUGAUAUAAAUAAGGAUAAUAAUAAUAGAUCAAUUCUAGUUGAUGAUUCAUGUUUAUAGGGGUAUAGUUCUUUAUUCAUGUUGAUAGGGGAAUUCCGUAACCCCCAAAUUCAGAGCGAGUUCUUUCAUUACUCAGAAGAAAAUAACAACCACUUCCAAAUAGCGAAACAUAUUCUCUUUAUCGAUAAAUGCUAACAUUCAUAUAGAGAUCAUAUUCAUUGUGUGCUUGCCUUGACUAAUUGUAUCCUUUCCUUGUUUAUUCCGGUAGAGUUAGAUUUAUAUGCCUUGCCGGGUACUUAGCUUAGAGUUCGCUUCUUUUAUAUGCCUUGCCGGGUACUCCUUUUCUCAUUUCGUCCAAUAGCAAUAGUUCUUCAAAUUCUAUCUAUGAAUCUAACGUUUUUCUCUGUAUGAAUCCAAAUUGAGGAGAUUGCCUAGUAUUCCACCAAUUUGUAACCCAAGGCAAGGUUCCAGACAUUUAUGAAAUUCGAAAGAUACCCCCACCAGGGCAAAAUGACUAUAGAUGCUAUAUAUGGGAGAGAGGCCGAUGCUUUCUUCCUUUUGCACUUGAUUCUGUUACUGAAGCAGCUCUUCAUUCGUUGACUCUAUCAGAUCUUAUAUUUCUUUGAAGCACUAGUUGUAUAACUGAUAUUUCUUGGAAGCAUUAGUAGUAUAAUAAAAGGGGUAUUGACCUAUGGUUCCUUGUACAAUAAUGAAUAGUAUAAGACCUAUGGUUGGUUCCUUGUACUAGAAUUCUCAUAGUAUAAGACCUAUGGUUGGUUCCUUUACUAGGAUGAACUCUGGUUCGGUUCCUUUACUAAGUAUAAUCAUUCUCUUUUUGGAUUUAGAAGGAAUAUAGACAUAGAAUAAGAGUUAGUCCUAUUCGGAUGAAAAUGAGAAAUAGGAAAUUAUGAUUCUUCCAGAUAUAUCAAUUGGGCUAAUUCGAAGAUAUUGAACUCGCACUCUGUAUAGGAUUACUUUCAAAGAGAUCAUAAGCGGGAGAAGCAGCUGGAUAAGAAUAGGCUCAAAUAGGUGGCAGCGCUAAAGCAUAUUUCUUCACAGGUCCAAGUCCAGUUCUUGGAUCAGACUAAGUUGACAGAUCUUCUGCUUUAUCAAUAGAAUCCGAAGUCAGAGUUCAGUCGACGAGAUCAGAAGCUUGGCUUUAGGAAGGUUGCAAGUAUAGUAUAGAAACCACCGGUAAAGAAUAUGGAUCAAGAUAUUCAGGCUGGAUCUGGUGGUGCGGUAAGCACGGGACAAUCAGUUUCAUCUACCAUAGAAGCCUAUUUCUAAUGCCUACGGAGCGGUAACGUCAUUUAUACUCUGCCUCGAGUAUAGGGUUCGGGGAAGCUGUGUACUCACUAACAUCUAUAUACCAUAUGCUUGAUAAGAUAGAUACACCAUUCUGACUUGAUAGUUUAGUUACAACUUCUUUUAGGGAUGCUACUUUACUCAUAGGGAGAUUCUUAUACUUAACACCUUCAUGUGAAGUGAGAAAGUUUCGCUGGUUUUUCACCUUAUUCUCCUAAGCAAAUAGAAAGAAAUGUUACUAUAUAAUAAUUCCAUACUACAUUUCUGAAUUCAAAACAGUAGUGCCGGGCAUCUCGACCAGUUUACCGUGCCUCGAUGAAUGAGUUAUGUUGGGUAAAGAAUGCGCUCAACUACCUGAAAAAUGAGUGAAGGAAGAAACAAACUGUUAUUGGGGACCGAACCCUUCGAUGCGCGUCCGGCGUACUACCUUCGUUGCAUGUGCGAUGGACCACCACGUUGUCCUUUGUUUCGCCCGAGCAAUGACAUGACCGAACCGAGGUACAAUGAUCCCCGGAGCCCUUUCUUUGUUUAUACCAUUGGAUGUCGUCCGCCCCUGUAGUCCUAAGCCCGAAGAAUCAAUGUAGUUUCUCCCGACGAAUUACCGACCUGACCUAUGAAUUAAUUACCGAGGUACUAGCUUCGUUGCCUGUGGACCAUUGAUACACGACCAACCCAUGAAUGAGUGAUGGAAUUGCGUCCCGGGGUCCGCUCACAGACUUAUUGAUUGUACUUUAAGGCGGAGCUAUUUUAUAAUAAGACCAAGUUCACUACCCUUUAUUACAGAACGAAAACACAUUCCAAUAUAUGAGAAUUUAUGGUCCCAUGGUAGCUCUAGGGGAGGUGUGUUAUUGGUUCAAAAGUGUGUUUCGGGGGACCUGGCAUCAAAGCAAGAAUACCAUCGGCACCACAGAAACUAUAUUAUCUUAUAGGAAACUAUAUUAUCUUAUAAGAAUCUCAUUGGCACUGCCCAUGGAUAGUAUGGAUUUUGGUUGUUCUUUUCUAUUAAUAGAAGCCAUAAUAUGGUUUGGUGGUUUCUUUCUUUAUUCAAUUGGGGUUGAUCUGAGUUCGCCCUACCGCAUGUUUAUUACUCUAGUGGUAUGGUAUAGCUUCAUUCUCACUGCCAAGCUAGAGAUUCCUUAUAGCUUUUUGGAUUCCGCGUAUACUGGGGGAUUCUUUUUAUACUGAACUGAGUCGACGAAGACAUCAGCAGCAAUGACUAAUACAGUUUCUUAUUGCAGUUGAGUUUGUAUACGUUGUUUGGUGUCUGCGGGAUAGGUAUAUAAGAUUUCCUGAAAGGGGGGGCGGGCUACCUUAUGUGUUUCAUCCCUUUUCUCAUGGGGUUGAUUCCCACUAGUCGUGUAGCAGUGAAACUCUUGUUAACGGUAGGCUUGAAGCACCUUAUUAUAAUCAAAAGUGCUAGAAGCCCCCCCGCUNNNNNNNNNNNNNNNNNNNNNNNNNNNNNNNNNNNNNNNNNNNNNNNNNNNNNNNNNNNNNNNNNNNNNNNNNNNNNNNNNNNNNNNNNNNNNNNNNNNNNNNNNNNNNNNNNNNNNNNNNNNNNNNNNNNNNNNNNNNNNNNNNNNNNNNNNNNNNNNNNNNNNNNNNNNNNNNNNNNNNNNNNNNNNNNNNNNNNNNNNNNNNNNNNNNNNNNNNNNNNNNNNNNNNNNNNNNNNNNNNNNNNNNNNNNNNNNNNNNNNNNNNNNNNNNNNNNNNNNNNNNNNNNNNNNNNNNNNNNNNNNNNNNNNNNNNNNNNNNNNNNNNNNNNNNNNNNNNNNNNNNNNNNNNNNNNNNNNNNNNNNNNNNNNNNNNNNNNNNNNNNNNNNNNNNNNNNNNNNNNNNNNNNNNNNNNNNNNNNNNNNNNNNNNNNNNNNNNNNNNNNNNNNNNNNNNNNNNNNNNNNNNNNNNNNNNNNNNNNNNNNNNNNNNNNNNNNNNNNNNNNNNNNNNNNNNNNNNNNNNNNNNNNNNNNNNNNNNNNNNNNNNNNNNNNNNNNNNNNNNNNNNNNNNNNNNNNNNNNNNNNCUAGUGGGUAGUUAGUUAUGAGCAAGUGCAGUUAUGAUCUUUUGCUUAUUCUAAUCCUGAUGAAUAUCCUUAUUCAUAUCUUUCUCUUUCAACUCCAGCAUUUGAAGAACCGAUUGCGACUUACUUACUGGAGAAACCUUCGGAUCCAGGAAUGGAACCCAAAGAGCCAAGUAACUACUAAUGACCAAGCAACGGGACAAACAACUGCUCCUCCUCUGAUUCUGUAUUUGCAGUGGAAUUAUGAUUAUGACUAGUUUCCUUUUUGCUACUUAUUUCUUAGUGUUUUAUUCAGAGUUUAUAGAGCCCAUGGUAGGCGAGAUGAGGGCAAUUCCAACUUUAGGGUUCAAUUAUUCACUGGCAUUGCAUCUGAAGUUGCUGGUUCAGAGGAUCUUCUUGCCAUCACUGCCGUAAGCACAGAAUGAGAUUGAACUGAUGCUGACAUACGCUGAAGAAAGGAUAGGCAUGGUAGAUCUUUGUAACCAAGGAUGCGAGAUCGGUAUACAGUUGCCCCUAGCCCAAGGUGCUUUUAACCAACCGGCGUGCUCUUAGUGUGAAUAGAAUAUGUUACUCUCUUUCCCCCUCUUGCUAACAACUAAAGAAGAGGAUUGAGCUAGGAAGAUAGAAAACUCAAGAAGAGGAUUGAGCUAGGAAGUCUGCUGAGCUAUAAAGCACGAAUCAAACUAGCGCAUUAGAGUAUUAGAUAAGAUAAGGUACGAUGUUGCUUGGCGGAGACUUUACUUUGAGUAGAAAGAAUUCAAUGAAAUCUAGCAUAGUGUAUAGAAAGGGUAGGUCAUAUUCCUAGGCUUACCCGAGAUCUGUAUCAGAGGCAUAAGAGCAAUAUCCGGAGUCGGAGAUAGAAUAUGAAGUUGUUGUUCUUGUGUUGUCUCCAGUUUAAAGAGAAUCCCCUGCUGAAAGGUCAAGUUCCAUUACUGGUUUUGGCAAAUUGGCUAAUGCUAGUUCUGGCGCUAACUGAGCUCACCCUGAAGAUAAGAGUAUGAAGUGAUGCAAGCAAGGCAUGAACUAAAGUACUUAAGUCUAGUAUAAGGUGAGGCAAUCAAGUAACCUCAAAGCUUCGAAAGUGCGUUAGUUAGUUGUGCUGGAGCUUAUUGUGCUUGGGUGUGUUAGAGGGAGUUCGACAAGUGCUAGCGUGAGUUGAGUGAAGUUGGAAUCGCCUGAGUGCUACGUGAGUCUUUAAGCACAGCUUAGUUAGUUUAUUCAAUUGUGUCAGGUGAUGUCAGUUAGGUUAUUCUAUUAUAUCAGUCAGUGGAUGUCAAUUAGGUUAUUCUCUUCCAUUAUAUCCGUUGAUGUCAAUUAGGUGUGAUUUUCUUGAUUCUCUAAUAUCCGUUGAUGUGCAUAUUUGAUUACUUUACUGUUAUUUCACACUGGCGUUAGUGAGUUUGCCGGAACAAUAAACAUGCUAACGCUUUAGUCACUCGCUAACAGCGCAAGCCGUGUUACUUGUUCUAAGCUUGCUGAAAGCAAUGCUCCAUUUUUGGAACUCAAUUCUAUAAGUGCUGUGCAUCACUAAAUUCCAUUAUCUGCCUUUUGACUUUAGCUUAGCUUCUUUCUAUGAUUACACUGCCUUUGCGACUGAUAUAAGUAUGGGAGCUGACUUUAGCCUAAGUAUUCUUUAUUAUUGAUACAACAACACUCGAACAGCAGCAACCCUGAGAGAAAGUUAUCCAAAUGUUGAGCGGAAUGCCUUGAACAGAGACCAGAGUCUUUCAGCACCUUGAGAAGACAGAAACGGAGACCCUAGCCUUUUGUUAGUGAGUUCGAGCAAGCAAACAGAUUAGCGGAACAGGUGGCCUCUAUUCUGACUUUAGGGAACCCAGGGCCAUAAGUAGUUGUCUCUACAGAUCUAUUCUGACUUUAGGGAACCCAGGGCCAUAAGUAGUUGUCCUAGAGAUCCAUUUAAGCACUUAAGAUUUGAUGCGAGUCACAUUCAUCAAUUAUAUACUACUAUGCUAAAGAGAGAACGAGCAAACUAAGAGACUUGUUGAAAUAUGGUACUUAGCGCUGUAACCCCUUCUUUCUCUAACACCCUUAUCGCCGUUGAACAGAGGUGAAACGUUGCUAAUGUAACAUAUUCUGUCCUGCAAGAAAGCGUGCUGAUAUUCAUGAUUAAAGCAAUGCGAUGUUUGGUUACAUUGUUCUAUAUGUGUGUUAGUGUUAGCUCAAUUCUGUUCAAUGAUUUUGCCCGAGCUACAGCGGCACGGAAUUCAUGCUUGGACCUCUCUCGUAUUCAAUGAGCUUAGAGCGCGCAUUAUGUUGUUGGGCCAUAAUCAAGCUAUACUGGGCGAGAACAUAUAGUCUGGUUAUCCACAUUAAGUAAGUAGGUCCGCUCACUUGAUACAACACCGCAACACUCGCACUGGUUCUUCUCUUCUUCCAUAUAUAAUUAUCUUGGCAAAGCUACAGUUCUUUCUUUGAUAGUUAACCGACUUGAAAAGAGCUUCUUGAUAUUAGAUUAUUCCCUACUGCAAACACAGACAACAGAGUCAAGAAAGAGAUGCUUCACACGAGCACCCAAAGAGAGAGACGAGACUUUAGUCCUUAGCGCUUCAUGAGGGUAUUUUGUUACUUCUUUCAAUUAUGUGUGCGACUAUGGAGCGGGUCCGUUAUCGAGUGUAUCUUCCGCGCGAGUUGUGUGUUCACUGCGCCCUUACUUGCAUGUUAUGUUUACUUAACAGCUUCCUGCUAGUCCGUAUUAUUGCACCAUAGCUUGUUGAAUCGAGUGCUAAACAGAAAGUCACAACACUGCGAAACUAACUUAACAGAACAGAAAAGAAUCUAGCUUCACUUAUAUAGAGAGAGAAGAGAGGAUUGAUGUCGGCACAACUAACUAACAGUAGCUCGCUAAUGCCAUUGCUUAUAUAUUCCCUCUUGUUUGCUGGUUCCACUCAUAUCACUUGUUUAUUACUUGUUUGCUGGUUCCACUCAUAUCACUUGUUUACUUGUUCUACUCAUUUCAAAGUCAUAAUAGUAGCAUAUUCUAUAAGGUAUGAACUUCAUAGUAGCAUAUUCUAUAGGGUGGUAUGAACUUCCCUGCGGACUGCUGACUUUAAUAAGCUAGCGCAGCGCAAUGUUACUUAUAUUCUUUUCAAAGAGCUCACUAUAGCCAAUAAAUUCGCGAGUGAAAGUGUUGGUGAAGAGAGAUUAUUUCCAUGUGCUCCGCCCUCUUUAGCCUUAAUUGAUAUGGAGGUACUAACAACUCGGAGUCGGACAACCUCUCUUAUGAUUGAUUGAUUACCUGCGCAGGGUCAGUGUGCUCAUCCCUUCCAUUCUCAAGUCAAGUUCCAAAGUCAAGUAUGGAGAACUAGUAACGGCUUCUUUGUUUAGUUCCAGAAGCAACAAGCCUAUAGAGAUAGCUUUGCUAGUUAAGGUCGCUAGUCUUCAUCGGCUAAGGUCAGUUCUUUUACUUGCUUGCGCUAAAGGGUCAAUGAGCUCCCCCAUUCCUUAUUUCAAAAGAUAGAGAUUCCAUUGAUUCACUUUAAGUAUAGGUCGGGCAAUCAGGAUCUUCAGUUGCGCAGAAUCCGAAGUAUCAAGUGAAGUCAGCAGCAAGCAUGGAAGAGAGGCACCCCGCAACCAUUGAAUAGAAGGCACCCCGUUCCGCUCGCCUUAGCACUGAGACUUCUACUUUUGACCUUAAUUGUUGAAAAGACGAGGCGAGUAGAGUCGACUCGAUCAUAAGCUUGAUCUUCAGCAGGAUAAUAGUAUGGAUCAGGAGUAGCUUGUAUCUAAGUCAGAACUUCCAGUUGAGUUUUCGUCUUCAAGUAGAGUGGAAUCGUACUAAGAAUCAAAAGCUGUAUCCAUAUCUUGAGUAGGAAGGCUAGAUUCAUUACUUAAAGCACAGGAGCUCGCAAGUCUGGUUUUGGGGUCCAGGCCCAGCUAGAACUAAUGCGUAUGUUCAAUUUCAAUGAAGAAGUUGCGCUACGCUAAUGGGAAGGGAUGAUUAGGCACGCAAAGCAAAGGUAAAGCUAAGCACUAAAAGAGAAAGCCAAUCACCGACAACCUAGACUCGUACAAAACUAGAAUACCCUUAACAUAAAGCAAGCCAAGCACCUAUACUAUACUAUACUUCAAGAAUGACUAUCCCCGGCAGAAGAUCUUGUGGCUUAUUUGAUGUCUUCCCUUGCUGAAAAACAGAACCUUGCUUCAUCUCUGAAUCCGCUACGUGGACAUGAGAAAAGAGCUUCCCGUUACUAUGACAUGAGAACUCCACUCGUGUAUGACAGUCAAGAAAGAAGCCCUAUAUCGUUAGCGGUUGCGGAAGCACUUGUGAACGGAACAGGUUAAGGGCGAAAUAAGCUUUUCCAGAGUAUAAGCAGAGGUGUUGUUGAGUUAAGAAAGACUAAGUGUGUUAGGAGUGGAGCGGAUAUAGCGUGAGGUAGCUGCCCGGAGCAAGUCCUUUUUCGUCGUAUCAGCAUUAGUUAGUUCACUUGCACUCUCUGCAAUAAGCUUUAGGCGCACAAAAAGAAAAGAACUGAUCUUGUUGAUGAUUUUCUAUGGAUUUGUUAUUAAUACCGGGCUCAUUUAUAUGGAUUUGUUAUUAAUACCGGGCUAACGCCAUGACGAAAGCAGGAGCAGACCCGCUUGCUGCAGAUGAUCCGGAUCUUAUAGAAUCCACUCACACUGGCAGUUCUUCAUUGCAUUUCAGAUCUAUCUUAUCUUGCACUUGCUAUAGAGGCGAGUAAAGAAGGAAACAGUUUCCGUAGAACAAGCAACUGCGUUAGGCAGAGUCUUAUAUCUUGACUCUUGAACUCCUACUAGCAACAGCUUAUGAGCAAGCAACAGCAAAUGAGCACAGCGAUUUGGUGCCUAUCCAAUAUUCUUUCUUUAUGGAUUGAUUUCUUUAUUCACAAAUUAUAUCAUAUAUGCGAUCUAUAUUCCAUUCCACAAGUCUAAGUGCUUAACGUAGUUUCCGCUCCGCUAACACUUACUGGAGUUUCAGAGGGUAAUCUUAGUUUGAGUUUCAUAGGGUAAUCUUAGUCAUUUCUAUACAAUAAGGUGAAGUUCAUAAGCGCUAACGGAGAGGGCAAAGUGUUCGAGUUUCGAAGACAGAUUUCUCUAUGUUUAAGCUCUGUUCAAGGUUGCUCAUGGCAAAUACACCAUGGAAAGUAUCUAUAAGUUGUAUAAAUUCAUUGACGCCUAACAUCUUAUUCCCUCGCUGAUUCAUUAAUUCAAUCUCAUGCGCAUAUUCUAUGAUAAAGUAACAAUAUGAGAAAUUCAAAAACGAACUCCUUACUGCUUCCUCUAAAGAAUAGAGGAUAGUUUACUUCUUAUAUCAUUGUGUAACUGGACUGCUGGCACAAACUAACUUCUGACUUUAGUUACGGAAUGGAAUAAUGCUUAUUAACUUUAGGAUUGUGAAUUGAGUGCACCGCCGAAAAGAAUAUGAAAUACAACUCAUAUAUACUCUACAAUACAAUAUAUACGAGACUCUAUGAAUUACGGACCAUGUCCACCCCUUAUUAGACUGGAUUUGAGACUGGAAUAUGCAUCUUAGAGCUGAUAGGGACAGUGAGCUACGCAAUCUUAGAGCUUAUAGGGACAGUGAGCUACGUUGAGCUACGCAAUCUUAGAGCUUAUAGGGACAGACCGUGAUAACAAUAAGGAUUUACUUAGUGCUCCGUGGCGUGGUAAGUAUUUCUUUGAAAAAAUCUAUUCGGCUUCUGCUUAUGAUCCUGCUUGAAUCAAACUUGCUUUAACAGGAAUUCUCUUAUAAUACAAGCACACGACUAAGAGAGAAUCUAUGCUUAUUAUCUGUUGAGAGAAUCUAUGCUUAUUAUCUGUUCUUUUUUGUGCUAAUUCAAGUGCAAGAUGGAAGACCUAUUCUAUAGACUAGUUGGCAGCUUACUACCCGCUUCGGUGGGGCAAGAGAGUGAGUCCCAGGUCAUAAGUCAUAGUUCCAGUCCCUUUUUAUUGAAAGUGUACAGUUACUAUCUAGCUCCAUUAUCCGUUAUGGUCUGAUACUGAGGAAAAAGGGUGCAACCACUGCAUUUUGGGGUACUAGCAAAAGGAGUCGAAGCCGAUCAUAGUCAAGUGCUUACCCAAGAAGGAAGUUCGCUUUAGGGGGACGGAGCGCUAGUAGGUUUAAAUGCAAUUCGGUCAUACUGGAAGCAGAUCCCAGAUCUCAAACAGUCAUUUGAUGUAUAAAUGCACGAGAACGUUCGGUUGGGUACCCAAAAUCUCAUAAGUGGGGGCUUAGACUCAUAAGUCGCUGUAAUUCCUCUACCUAACCACUCAUGCUUCUUUACAGCUUGCCUUCUUUCCUUGCCUUGGCGGUUUUUGCUAUAGGAAUGCAUUCUGCUAAUCAUUCAUUGGUCUCUAGUCUUUCCUCAGGCCCUGAGGAAUCCCAAUCUGAAAGCUCCGUAUAUGAAAGAUAAGAAUAGGCUCCUUCCUUUUUGAUUGCUGGCACCUUUUUUAGAGGACUGCCUUGACAUCGAGGUAUUAGUUCCAACCUUUUCUAGAGGACUGCCUUGACAUCGAGGUAUGAGUUCCCAUAAUCCCGUCUCCUGUCAACAGGUGGCAACGAGAAAAGCCCAUGCACUGAACCAAAGAGUUGUCCAAAAGAGAAAACAAUAGACGCGCCUCUUGUCUUGAAUAAGCAGGAGUAGCAAGAGAAUGAAUGAGCUCUUUAUUCCUUAUUCCACCUGUUGCCUAAAUGACUAAUGAAAGAGCGGCUCUGCAUUAACCCUAUCCCAGAAGUCCGAGUAGUUAAGUUCGUUCAUAAGCUUCGAAUUCUGAGGUAAAUGUGAGAGAGAGCCCAUACAGGGGUAUCUUCAAUAAAUCCGUUUGCUUACUUUAUUAUCUCAUAUGUUUGAUCUUCGAAUCCAUAUAUGAAUAAGCCCCGUUACUCCAUAUGCUUUCCCCUCCUUGCUUCAAGUGCAUGGUUUUAGACUAGGACUCGGUAAGCCAUUGGGCAUUCCUUUCUGCUCUGAUCAUCGGGGUGGAAAUUCAUUCCUUGAUCACCUGCGCCCCACUUCGGACUGACUUUUUGAUAAGACCAUUUUAGGCACCUUAUUCCCCCCAACAAAAUGGCGUGGCUGCUUCUUUCUUUGGAUUAUAAGCUUCUGGGAAUUAGAAGCUUCUGGCGCGUGAAGGGCUCUAAUACAACCAAACCAACCCCUGUAUUCUCUUGCUUUGUAUGAAACCAUAAGAUCCUUACAAUAGAAAAACGAAGUCAGUUCUUUUUCAUCAAUUACUAGGACAGGAAAGAAAUACCAAGCCACAAUUGCUUCUCUUCUGUCUCUGUAGGCAUUGAACGAGAACAUUCCCCCUUUGAUUCCUGCCAACUUUAUUAACCGCUGAUGAAGGAAGCCCAUAAUCUAAGUAAAGUCAUAACAAUCCGUUUAGUUACUAGGGGACUUAGACCGAAAAGAGGAUUGAUUGCCUGCUCAAAGAUAGAGAGUAUGGCAUUCACAGCUAUAAGCUAGCUAGUUAGGUAGGUGAAGCGGGAAAGAAUCGAGUCAAAAAACACUGUCACACUUAAGACCGAAUGAACAUGUAUAUGUUGGUGCCGGAGCUGUAGUGGUGCUAGGCUCUUCUAUUUCUUCUUUCCAGGAAAUCCACAUAGCUCCUUAUAAGUCUGGUGGACUGCUCUAUCUCGGGGUCCUUUGCUCGGGCUUUGUACCCGGGGGAGAUUUAGUAAUUCCUUAAUUGCUUCUUCAGUAUCGUGAGGAAAUGAGUUACUCUCUGUUGCCUCGGCUUUCUUCAAUCAAUAAGUAUAAGAAAAACUCAUGCUAUUGAUGCUGUGUCUCAUGGGGCAAGCUUGCUAAGAGAGAGCUUCCUCAAAAGAAAGGAGCAGCAAAAACUUCCUUCAACAAUAUGACUGGGUACGAAGCAGGUUGCUUGUUUGAGGCAAAUCUUUCCGUUGGGGUGGGGCGCGCCAAAGAGUCAUAUUGUUGUGCCUGCUUUUGCAGUCUGCUCCACUUAAAGUCAAGGAAAGGAAAGGGCGGAUAGAACCACUGUGCCCGAAGACUAUGUAGAAGCAAAGGAGCGACCACUUCGCGAGCCAUACCGAUAAAAGAGGCAGGCCGAGACAUGAUCAACUUAUGAUAAAAGAGGCAGGCCGAGACAUGAGAAACUUCUUCGGAUCCGUCUUUGCUCUCAAUUGGACCUUGUGCCAACAUAUGCGAUUCAUUCCCAUAAUUCGAAAAGAGCUUCCUCGGCUUUGUUGCUAGCUAUGACUCAAACGGGACAGGGCAAGAGGAUAGUGAGUUUUCAAGCAAUAACGGCAAGGAUAGUGAGUUUUCCAGCUAUAACCAUAAUAAGGCAGGCAGCAAGCUGUUAGUCUACGUUCUGCUAUACCAUGCGAGCUAGAUCAUGUCAAACAAGCCUUUAUUGCAAUUGAGUUGAGUCAAGUACUUUUGUCUAGCCUUCAAAUGCCGUAGAUGAGUUAUUAUUGAUUUUGUCUAGCCUUCAAAUGCCUGCCUAGAUGAGUUAUUAAAGGAAGCUGUAAGCAGUAAGCAAAGGUGCGCUGAACUCGCUAACGGAGUUUGUCCAGUAGAAGGUACAUCGUUUAGUAUAUUCUAUGUCAUCUUACACACUUAUAUGAAAAGUCAUGUUUCGCACUUGGAGUUGUAUAGUUGCAUUCAUUCCAUUCAGCCUAUUAUGAUUUGAUUACUUGACUCUCGCCUUACUGUAGUUGCUCAAGCAGUUUCAAGCUGGGUGCCAACAUCAAUUCUUCUGGGGUUACAAGCCCGAGGGUCAGAAUUCUUUAAUAGAGUCUAGGGUGCAGAUGCCGAUAGAAGUUAUUAAGGUUGGGAGUAGGCUUUCAGCACCUUCUGAUGCUGACUGCUUUCAUUGCACGACUACUCUACUACACCUCCGGGGCUCCUAUCUAUUCUCAUCUCACUCUGGCUCUUUUCUACCUUCAUUCGGCUCUCUUCUCUUCUUGCAACCAUUAAGAAGUCUGGGUCUGCUCUAACUACUGCCUUUCCUUACUAAGAAGAAAGUACUGGAUCCGCUCUAACUACAGCCUUUCCUUACUAAUCAUAAAGUACUGCUGGCAAAGAAGGGUGCCGAUGUAGCUCAGACAAAGUAGAAAGUAGUAGAGCUGAGUUCCGGGUUUCGUAAACAAUAACUUCUAUCGUAGCAGCACUUAUAAGAAAUACUUCCUAAGCAUUCUGAUCCUGCUCGGGAAACGGAAUCUGAUCCUUAUCCAGCUGAUUAUCUCGCCUACAAUUACAUAAUCAUUCCCCUUUUAUACUUAUAGACAAAAGCUACACUAGCACUUAAGUCUGUCUUGCUUGGCGCCGAAAACAGAACAGUAAAUGAAGCUCUCUCUUUUCCAUAUCAAAAAGUAGGAAUUGAGUGGUAAACAAAUCAUUCUUAAACGGAAACGGCACCCCUAGAUUGAUUUACCGCUUUAGAUCCCAAUCCAGCUCCGCGAUAUCCUCUAGCUUCCUUAUCCAUCUUAAGCUUCUUCUACGUAUCUUGCUUCGGCUGAAGAUGGGUGCCCACGGAGUUGUGUUAAGGCUUACGGACCUACUGACUUAAUGCGCAAAGCUGUGAGUCUAAUCAUAUAUAGAAUAGAAUGCGAAUGCCCACGUAGCAGUUAAGGGCCAAGCAACGACUAGACAAGUAACUACAGUAGAUGAGCCUAAUUCUGUUAAGAGAAAAGAUCCUGUUCGAGGUUAAGUAUCAAGUGGAGUUGAGAGUAGCUAGUCCUGUUUUCGUGCCUUUCCCCUUAGAGACAGGAAAGGGGGAGGAGCUGGAGUUAAUAGAUAUAAAGGCUUGGGUAUGGGAGAUACAGAUGUGGAUGCCGGGGUGCCAGACCGAUACGCUAGCUUACAACCCGCGCCCAGAGCUACCACUCUUUGACUUAUGUGUGUAAUUCCGUUUAGUAUGUUUUCAUUCUUUUAUACUACCGAGUGCUCUGAUACGUGCCUGGAGGGAGUAAUUCUUCCGCUUCUGUGUUGAAAUUCCCAAGUGCAAUUCUUAGUCAUGGAAAUAAUGGAUUGCUACCCUUGGAGAGCUAAUGGUACUGGACUGAUAGCGUACGGAAUCGUACCCACGUAUGAAGAAAAGGAUGCACUCUUCACUGCCGCUUCGGGGCACGAUUGAGAAAGCCGUCUGCAAAAACGAUCCUAUUAGAGCGAAUGGCUACGUCCGGCCGACUACCGGGGUACAUUAACUUAAUGAUUAUUCUAUUAACUUGUAGAAAUUAUUGAUUCUGUUCUCUUAUAUGAGCAUGUGUUUUGUUGCUUUUGGCAUAUUCUAAUAGAAUGUGUUUAAUGCAAACCACUUAUCAACAACCUCAGGUCUUACUCCUUACUGGAAUUCCCACUCUCUUGGCCUGACUACCCUACCUUAACUUGGCCUGACUACCCUACCUUAAAGUAUACCAUCGUCAACUAAACUAAGUAAUAGAAUCAUUGUAAUAUAAUAAUGAAUAGAGUCGUAUUGCUGGUGUUCAUGCC
rnacentral:lncRNA from 1 species